rnacentral:lncRNA from 1 species
UUUUUUUUUUUUUGAGAUUUACUUUAAAUUUUAAAGGUGAAAGUGAAAAUGGGAAAAUAGAGGCUACUAAUAUUUUAGCACCCCUAUCAGGUAUGAGAGCAUGUGGUAAAUAGAGUAAUUUUUGAGUAAGCAUGGUCAUAUAUGUCAUUCCACAUAUCUCAUUCGCAAUCAAUUGUGAAAAACAUUGCUCAUCUCUAUAUAUUUUGUUUUGAAGGUUUUAGCUCAAUAAACGCUUGCAAACCUCCCUUCACCAAAUAUUACAAUUAGAGAAUUUGACUAUCAAUCUUCCAUUUGUGCCCAAAUCAGCUAAAAAAUGUCCAAAACUCUGUUUACCAAACACCCCCUAAACAAAUUAAAGAUAAACAAGGUAAAAAAUUUAUUUCAUAAAUUAAACAAUAAGAUCAUUCCAUAUUAUACAUAUAACAAUUCAUAAUUCAACAAAUUUAAAAUAAAUAAUAAAAGAUUAAAUUUAAUUUUAAAGUAUAUUUUAAAAUUAUUUUUUGGUACCGACCAGUAUACCAUAUUUCGGAUGGCACGGACAAAAUUAAUAGGUACGCACCGAUACGACUGAUAUUGACCGAAACUUGUACCGGAAUGGAACCUAAAGUUUAUUGUUUCGGUUUACUAUUGGAAGAGUGCUAUCCGACUGGUACAAGCAGUACUAGGACGCUAUCUACUAUCAUCAUCAAAAUACCCUUAUUUAUAUUAACUAUUUAAAAGGUAUAUAAAAAUUAGAUUAAUUUAUAUUUUAUAUAUCAUUAUAUUAAUUUUUAAAUCUUAUUUAUUAUAUUUGAUUUUUUUAAAAUAUUUUAUAUGAUAUUAAUUUUAAAAAAUAUAUAUUAAUUACUUAAAAUGUAUUUGAAAUUUAUAUUUCAUAUAUCAUUAUAUUAAACUAUUUAAAUAUCAUAUAACUUAACUAGUUACUAUUAUCGUAUCUAUAAUGAAUGUUUUAACCUUCAACUGCAUUUCUUGGUGACAAUAAAAAACACUAAGCUUUACUUACCAUUGAGGUUGAAAAUACUUUUCAACUCAAACCUUAAUUUCAAAAAAUAAAAAUAAACAAGUCGAUUUUAAAGCCAAACAUUUGAUUUAAACUGGGGUUUUAACCCAAGCCAAAAAAUAAAAAUUUUUAGCUUUUAAAUUUUGGAGAAGUGAUUUUUAAUGAAGUUAUCUUUUUUAUCUCUUAACAUUUUAUCUUCUCAAAAACACUUUUUACCAACAAUGAUAAACACUAUCAAACUUUUCAAAAAUACUUUCAUAAACUAAUUCUAAUUUUAACAACCUAUAUCUUUUUACAGCACUUUUUUUACUAUACUUUUCAAAGAAACAUUCUUUUAAAAUCACUUUCAACCGCAAUACAAACAGUAGAGUAGUUUUUAAUUAUCUUAAAAAAAAAGUUAAAAUACUAGUAGUAAAAACAAAAUAUCUAUGGCCAACCAUUGCCCUUAAGAAGCAUCGGCUUGUUCACAUCAGUAAGUUCACCUUCGGAAUCUUUAAUAUUUAAGGGUCGUCAUCAGUCAUGGUUCAUUUCGAUGGCAUCGGGUAUAAAGUAUACUUCAAAGAAAACCCUCUCGUAUCGUAUGAAACUAGCUUCUACUAUUAUACGUGAACUGUAGCGGAGCUUGAUCUCAACCAAUAAAGGAAUCAUUGGGUAAACAACAUUUAGAUAUAACUAGGGCCGAAAACAUACAAUGAUGAACAUGGAGCUGAAGCGUAGUGAAUCUAAACAAGUCUAAUAUACACAUGCACGCUCACAUUUCAGAAGGCUCGAACCCAAAACAGAUCAGACGUGUAGUUGUUGUUGUUGUUUUCUAUAACGCUAGAGUUUCAGCUUUCUUGAGUUACAUAACGGUAAUCUACGUAUCCGUGUUAUUUUUUCGUGCUAUGUUUGUAUAUCGUGUUUUGUAUUGUGUUGGAUGUACAGCAGAAGUUAUUAUAUUCCCAUGUUAUCAACGACACUGUUGUGACUAUAUUUUCCGAAUACUGGGCAAUGCCAGAGUACAAAUAAUACGGGAGAGUACUGAACCCUGAGUCAAAGGUUGCUCUUUUUCAUGGGCCACUGGCCGCCAAUCGAAAUGGGACUGACAUGACCCUUUGAGGAGACCUUCGAGGGAGAGGAGACCCCUAUAAAACUCUCCUGAGGAAAGCCACGACUGCCCUUCUCAACUCCCUUACAAUUCAAUUGCAGCUGUUACACAUGAAUAGGGGCCCUCAUGGGUUCCACUAGGGGCGUCCUCAUCGCUGCUUUACGCUCCAUAAAAGCUAAUUCACAGGCAAUGUCACCUGCAAAUUAACCCCGUGCAAGUGAUCUUUUAUCAUGUGCCACUACAUUUCUAAUUCCGGCCCUGAUGAAUAUUGAAAUGUCACCUCAUCAUCACCAACUUGCAGAAUAUUUUGGCUACAUAUAUUCUAUAGUAUUUUAAUAAUGUAGGCAAGUGAGAAAAGAAGCAAUUCUUGAUUUGAGGAUGGUUCCAUGGGAACAAAAAUAACCUUAUUAUGCAAAAUAUCUAACCAAAGAAACUACAAUCACCAUAUCCAGCAAAGAUAAAAGAAAUGGUAGAAAAAUAUUAUAGAAAUUUCAGCACCUUACUUUCAAUGUUUCACUCACCUCUUGAAAGACCACAGAGAUAUGGCCAUUUUUAAAAAUGUCAUUUCUGUAGCCAACCUAAUUUUCAUCAUUGUCCAUACUGAACUUGAUGGAAAUAGUCAAAUAGUUUUUUCAGUAAUGGAAAGAGAGAAGUCAAAGCAAGCUGAAGCUGCUCAGAGCUAUUUAUUCGUAAACUGACUUGUCCUGCGCCUUUGUUAUUCAGAUUGGCACGAGCUAUUAGAUUUGUAGACCGUCCAACAGGUACCUGUGAUUGUAUAUUGCAUCCAAUGGCGAGAUCUCCAUGCCAAUCCAUGAUAGAUAGACCAAGUGUAGAUAAGGAGCGACCCAGAGGGUAAUCUUUAUCCCUCAAUUGUGCUUCCAAGCUGCCCCCAUAAGCAAGAUCGCCGCGUCCUGUCAUAACACCCCCAGUCAUGACUACCUGGAACUGCUUAUUAGCAAUCAGUUUGUCUUCAAAUUUCAUUCCAGCUGAUAGUGCAUCACCUAAGAGUGUAACUGAGAUGCCAGCUGUUGCCUUAUUCUUCUUCAGAUUACUAAACCUGGUCUCGCUGCGCAGUGUAUAGGCUAAGUCCUUUCCAACAGUCUGCAUAUCAAAACCCACUGAAGUUGCUUUACCUUCCCCAUGCUUUAAAGAACUGGCUAGUUCCAUUUGGACAUUGGCAUCCCUUUUGUCCUUUGUAAUCUGGCCAGAAAAUGAAAUAGGAAAUUUCUCUUUUGCAACAAACAGUCUUUCGACAUUAAUACCUUCGUAACCAACAUCAUGAUCCCAACCAUGUGUAUCUAGAACAGGCCUAACAAGCCAUGGGUUGGAGGAAUCAAGGGAACGAUAGCGAUGAGUUGGAUUAUCAGAAUCAAAAGAAGCAGGCAACACCAAAUCUGGCAUGGGAACUGGAACAGAAGAAGCACCACUACUUUCUUCUUCUGCAUUUUCACCGUACUCACUUGGCAGAUCCUUGGCUGCAGCAGCCAUUUUCUUCAUCAUCUUUCGCCGCUUUUUCUCUUCCUUCAGUUGUUUCUUCAUAAAAAGCUUUUCCCUAUAUUCCAACUCGUCAAAAUAUGCUUUCUUCUGAGCUUUACUAAGCUUUGCUAUUUGUGCUUUACUCAACCGCUUGAAAGGUGGCAGCUCAUCAUAUUCUGGUUCAUCCUCAGAGUCUGAGGAUUCAUCCAAAUCAUCAUCUAAUCCAUCCUCAUCGCCAUACUGCUCUUCAGGAAGCUUAACUUGCGGUCUUGAUUGAAGAAGAGAUGAAAGAAGGAAAGGUAAAGGAGGUGCUCUUGUUCGAGUUGCAAAAGGCUUCCCUGGAGGAGUAUCUUGCAACUUCAAAAGUGUGUUUGCCUCCGCCAGAAUUUUAGAUGCAAAGGAAAGCAACAACAAAUGAGGCUUCCAGACCUGACCAUUUGGCAAUACUCUCUGGCCUGCCCUAUUUGUUCUACAUGCAGAGUGAUUCUCCACUAACGAAACAGGAUUCAUGAGUCGCAUAUCCCCAGCUGCCUGACGAAUAGCCUGCUGUACAACAUGAGAACGCUGAGUGACAAACAUGUCAUAACUAGAAGCAGUACCAUUUGGACCAUCUGGUGGAGCAGAAGCUGCAUGAGUCAAAACCACAAUUGCAUUAAACCAUAUAGAUGGACCAAAGAUAUCAGUUAUGGUACGCAAAAGGGGCAUAUCACCAAAAUCCCUCGUUUGCAUGUCCAACCUAUCGAGGUACAACACAAUAUCUGGAGGUGUUUUCUUGAUGAAACGCUUAACAGAGUGAAGGAUCUUCUCAUUCUGGCAUUGGUCAGACCAGGAAGGAAGAAGGCCUGGUGUGUCAAUUACACGAACCUUAAUACCAUGCACAGUACCCACAACAUCCUGAACCUUAUUGGUACCAGUCUGGAAAGCAUCAGUGCCAAACUUGAUUUCAUCAAAUAUUGAAUUAAUAGUAGCACUUUUACCAACUCCUGUCUUCCCAAGGACCAUAAUUGUACAGGCAAAAUCAAGGGGUUCAUUUCCAGCUGCCUCAAGCUGUUCAGCCAUAGCACUUGCACGGUCAAAGCUGAAGGCACCAACCCGGCCUCCAUUUCUCCCCCGGAGCUGCUCAGCUAAUCCUAGUCUGUACAAAACCUGUGCCACAACAACAUUAUGGGGAGUCUGCCCGAGCCUAUUUGCAAGCCGCAAAAACUUAACUCUAAUCAACUGAAGCUUUUCACGAGUCUCAUCAUUCUCCUCAACCUCCACAUUACCAGGAUCUUCAAUUUGAUGUGCCUGUGCCUGUGCUUGAGAGACACUUCCAUUCACACGAGGCUGCUGCACCACCCUGGGGGCAGGUUCCAAUAGCGGAGCAGCACGCCCAAGGCCAGCAGGAUGAGAAGGGGUAGCAAGGUUUGUAGAUUUAACAGAUGAUGCCAAUGCCGGAGCAGGAACACUUAAACAUUCUUUAGUCACAGAGGUGUUUGUCUUAGGCUCCUGAGUUAUGUCUGCUUUCUUCCCAAUCUCUUCGGCUUUUGCAGACACUGAAGAUCCUGGAGCAUGUUGCACUUCCUGCUCUAGGGUCACUGGGGUGCUUUGCUUAUUUUGCUGAUUUUUCUCUGUUUUAUCAUCAGAUUGUUCAGUCACAAAAUCAAUAUCUUGACAUUUAUUACCCACCAUUUCAUCAGGGAGCCGAGAUUGAAAACUAUCAUGAACCUCUGUUCUCAAAUCAGCUUUACCAACCUCAAUCUUCUCAUUCAUCUCAUCUGUGAACUUUUCUGAAGAGGAUAAGUUCCCGACUGCAGAAGCAACUGUCUCUUCAACAGAUUUACUUGGCUCAGACAGCAUAUCUCUCAGUUCAUCAAUCUCACCAUUAUUCUUCAUACCCCUAGCAUCAGAUAAAUCUUUUACUUCUCCAUUCAUGGUAUCCUCCGCAGCAGCAAAAGCCUUAUUUGCUUUUUCAUCUUUGUCACCACCAUCUACUGAAUCAAGAUCAGCUGUGGCACCUUUUACUUCCGUACUUUCUUUUCCCUGAUAAGUAUCUCCUUUUACAGGCAUCUCCAUGACCGCAUCAAACUUGAGAUUUCUUUUUUCCUUGUCCCUCGGAACUUCUGUUUCUCUGGUACCACUGACUUCAGGUACUUCCUUCCCACUAUUCAAUUCAUCAGUCCUUUCGCCCAUUUCAGUCCCUCCCUCGUCAAUCUUAUCCAGCACCACACCACCACUAACACUCUCCCCUUGCUGCUGGUCCACCGACUCUGCCACAACCUCCAGAGUUCCUACUUCACUUGCAACCGCAUUCUCCAGAGCUCCAACCUCAGUUAGAACCUCAACAGCCUCUUGAAAGGUCUCUUCUUUAGGUUCUAAAUUCAAAUUCUCCUUAACUACCUCUGAACCAGUAUCACCAAAUGUCUCAACAUUUCCAAUUGCAUCGUCAACUAAACUGCUGCCAUCCACUCCAGGUUUUUCUGCCUGUUCUUGCAAAAUCUCCUGUGUUGCAAUUGCCUCCCCAAAAACCUCAUCUACCGGUUCUUUUGUUUCACCGGAAUCCCCAGCAACCCUCACCUCCACUUCCUCAUUGGCAACUCUUUCUUCCGCAAUCUUGUUGUCUACCAUUACUACCCCAUUUUCCAUUUUCACAAUUGUUGCUUCAAAAGCCUAAAUUCAGGAAGAACAUUAAAAGAAAAAGAGAACAGGCCAUCAUAACCAAUAAACAUCUGAAUAAUCAAUAAAGAAUCAAUUAUAAGAAACACCCACAAAACGUAAACCCAUCCUUUCCUAAAACCCGAACAUAAAAAUGCAAUAUUGAUCCACAUGUUAAAGGAAGAAAAUAGAUCGUUGCCUUUCUUUAGAAUCGAAACAUCAUCUUUCCAAAACAAAUAAGAUCCCAAGUUCAUACUUUAAAAAAGGAUUAACGCAAUAAAUGUAAAUAAUAAAAGAAAGAAAAAAAAAGAGAUGGGCAAUUAUAAUAAAACACAAGGUUACCUGGUCUUUUUGAUUCUGCGGUGAAUUUCAGAUAGGGAAAAGGGGGAAAAAAGGGGUUUGUGUACUAAAAUAAGAGACGGAUUAGAGAGGCAAAGGAAGAAUGGAAGUAUUAAGGAUAAGAAGGUGAUCAAGGGAUGAAAAUGGAGGUUGGGUUGUGAUCAAACGGUGAGAGAUGGUUGAUUAGUAUGAUCAUGAAAAACGCCGAAUCAUGAGUGUGUGAGUCACGUGAUCAUACCUUAUUCGAGAGGGACAGAGAUUGUGGACCGUCCAAUCUUUCCUGAUUCAACCAUAUUUGAUUGUGCCUACUCAUCUCUCCUCUAAUCAACCCUACAAACAAACCAAGCUGUUGAGAUGAGAUUGUUAGUAAAUAUGACUGUUGUCUGUGGAAGUAUUUUCACUUGAAGAAAUUUAAUGGCUAAGGAGGCUUUCAUCAUUGAUGUAACAUCUAUUUUUGUAAGGUUUCAAUGAAAAUACAGUGAUGGAUGUUAUGAAUGUAUCCAAUUCAUUUGGAGCUGUGGGGCUGCUUUGUUGGUGGAAUUUUUUCGUUUGACCACAUGUGUUUAGAAGGUAUUAGGUGAGGGAAUUAUAGGGAUCUACCCAAUUAGAUCCCCCACCCCCGGUCCCCAUUUUUGGUUGAUAUAUUAAAAACAAUUUACCUACUAAUACAUUUUGUUCAAGUAAGUUUGUAUAUUUUUUCUUUUCAUCAAAUUAUUUUGAUAAGUAAUAAGCUAAGUAGCAAUUUGGAAAGUUAGACACUUCUUCGAGUAUUGUGAGAACACAAAGUAAUAGGGGCAUCAGAGUUUGUUUACGCAAUACAGUUUCUUCAGUGAUAAGUAUUCAUUAUAUUCAAACACUUACAACUAGUAAUUCUAAACCUAUCGUACCCCCAAUGACAAUUUCUUUACUCUUGUACCUUUGAAGAGUGAAACUUUCAUCAUUAAGAAUCAGUUUAGCAUUGCUUAUAAGAAACACUUUUGAGAUAAAAAUAUUACUAAAUAAGAUACUUUUGAGCUUUUCAAAAGUACUUUUGGGACAAAAAAAUGCUUUGCAAAAGUAUUUUUUUAGUCAAAAGUAAAAAUAGAAAAUUUUAGCUUUUGCUCAAAAGUAAUUUUUGGCCUAAAAGCACUUUUAAGAAGUAAUGUUAAUCUAAGCCUAAAUUCUCUCUAUGAGAGCUUAGCUUAUAAAAUCACAAUACAAUCAAAUGCAUUCUCGCAAAUAAUUUUCCUUACUUAAACAGAUAAAGUGCUCUCCAUCUAUCUACAUUAAUCUAUAUAAGUCUCUUAAUUAUAUGAAGUUUUCGAGACUUGCUAACAUAACGAAAUCUAUAAUAAUCCCUAUUAAACAUUAGCUAAAUAAGAUGAAUAUUUUUAUAUUUUUAAAAUAUUUUUAUUUUUAAAUAUUUUUUAAUUUUUUCAUAUAUUUUAAUUUUUUUAUAAAAAUAUAAUUUUUUUGUUUAAAAUAAAAAAAUUAAUUUUUUUAAAAAUUACAUACUUUUAAAUGGUAUGGACAAUUGAUAAAAAAAUUGCAAAUGUUGAAGGCUAAAAAAGUUUAAAAAUUUUAAAACUAGUUGACUUGUGAACUGAUAUAGGCUGGUUGAAUCAGGUUAAAAAAAUUAAUUGGGCUGACAAUUGAAUCGAUUAUAAUUUUUAAUAUUUUUAUUUUUGAUUUUUUAAUAAUUUAUUUACUUUGAAUUGGUUGGACCGAUCGUUUGAGGAACCAAUUGGUCAAACUAGUUCGAAAUCGGUUCAACUGAUUUUUUUUGCUCAGUUCAACCAUUUCGUACUGGUUUGCGAGUCAACUGCUUUUUUACCUCUCACCGAACCAAUAUCCCAAUUGGUUCCUAGUUUGACUGUGUCGAUCUAGUCCAGUUUAGAUAACAUCGAAUUUUAGAAUUUUUGUUUAUAUUUUUUAAAUCGUUUAUAUUUUUAUUUUUUGAAAUUUAAAGAGUUUUUAUUUAAAAUAUAAUUUUUUUAAUUUAUUAUGUACUUUUAAAGGGUAAUGACUCAAUUGACAAAAAAAAUAUAAAUAUUGAGGGCUAAAAAAAUCAUUUUACUUUUGACAUUGUUAGUUUUAAGGAUAAAACUAAAUGGAGGACCAAGAUUUUUAAAUAAAAAAUUAUAGAGAUUUAAUGUCUCAAAAUUAAUAUAUAGAGAUUAAAUUUUAAAUUUUGAAAGAGUGUAACCACAAUUGAUAGAUUUAAAUUUUUUUUUAAUUUCAUAAGUAUUUUUUGAGUAUCUAUUCAUUUUGAGGUUUAAAGUCAUGUAAUUUAACAGUCUGUUUUUCAAUGGUCCUGAAAAUGGUGGUUUUAGAACCCUAUUUCUGAUGAUCGAUUCUGUAAAUAUUAUUAAUUAAUAUUUACGAGUAUAUUAUAGAGUAAUUCAAUUUCGGUCCGAUAAUUUUAUUAAACAAUUAGAAAUUAAGGUACAAAGACUAAAUUGUAAAAACCGUAAAAGUUAAUCACUAUAUGUUUUCUUUUAUUAAAGGGUUUAGUUAUAUAAUAAACUUAUGUUUAAAUGGUAAAUAGCCCACUAUAGCUAUUAGUGGACGGUUAGAAUGCUUAAUAUACAUGAAUUAUGUUAUUAUUUCAUUAAAUAACAUUAUAAAAUAAGUUAAUAAUAAAUAAGAAAACAAAACAUGAGAAUAAAGAGAAGACACCUUCAUCAUCUUCUACAUGCACCGAUUUUUCCAUUUCUAUAAUAGGAAGGGUUUCAAGCUUUGACUCCAUUUCUAUAAUAGGAAGGGUUUCAAGCUUUGACUCUUUGAUUGGGAAGCCAUUAUUAGUCUGUUUCUUGUAAACUUUAUGUUUUUGGAAUUUCGGGAGUUUGAUUUAGAUAACCCAGGUAUUAGAUCCUAAAAAUGUUAAAGCUUUGAAAUGUCACAUUGAAGGAUCUUGAAGUUUUUGAUGUUAUUUGGUUAGAUUUUGAGCUUAGUUAUGAAAAUGGACUAAUUUGUAAAGUGAAAAUUGUUAGUUUUGAACUUAGGGAAUAAAGUGUAAUAAUUUAAAUUUUACAUGAAAUUUCUAUAAUUAUAAGUAUUAGAGGGCUAUGGAACGAUGAAAUGGAUAUCAGUUUCAAAAUUGAAGCUGAAAAUUGAAAGUUUUGUCAUUUUCGAUUUUAGGGACUAAAAUGAAUAAAGUGCAAAGUUUUAGAGAAUUUCUAUAAAGUGAACAUUUAUAGUCAUAUACAUAGAAAAUGAUGUUAUGUAACAACCCAAUUUUAGCUAAAUUGGAACAGUAGUUUCGGAACCACAAAUCCGAGGUCGUAAAAUUAUUUUAAUAUCAUUUUUUAUAUUUACACUAUGUUAUUUGAUAUGUGUGAAAAUUUCGUGAUUUAAUUUUACCGAUUGGUUACUUAAUUUGAUAAAAAGGACUAAAUUGCGUAAAGCGUAAAAGUUAAGUUCUAAUAGCUAAAGGUAUUAAAUAGCUAAAGAACCUUAAAGUAAAGGUCCUUAAGUGGUCAAUAGACCAUUAGAGAGUUAGUGGAAGAUGAUAGCAUGGAAGUUGGUGUAGUUUUAAAUAUUUUUAAAGGUUAAUUUAGUCAUUUGAUUAUUAAUGUUAAUAAUAAAUAAAACAAACAAAAUUCAUUAAUUCAUUCAUCUUCCUAGCUGAUUUUUAACAAGAAGAAGAAACCAUUUUUAGGGCUUGAUAUUCGGCCAAGCUUCUCAAGCUCAAUUAAUUAGGUAUGGUUUUGACUCGGUUUUUAAUGAUUUCUACUUUUUGAGCUCGUUACAACUUAAUCUAGCUAGCUCAUACCUUCGUUUUUGAAACUAUUAUAGAUUUCAAAUGAUGCCAUUGUUGAAUGCUUGGUUGUUUAAGUGUUUAAUGAUAGAUUAUGAAGGUUUAAUGUUAGAUAUACAAGUUUUGUUAAGUGAUUUUUGACAUGUCAAAAAGGGAUUAAAUUGAUAAAAUGUGAAAUGUAGUGGUUAAAAGUGUGAAUAAAGUGAAAAUAUGGGCUGCUAGUAACAUGUAUUAUUGGCCAAGCAUGGGUUUAAUGAAAUUAUGUGUAUUUUGUGUUGUUUUGAAAUAGGGACUAAAUUGAGAAAAUGUGAAAUUUUAGGGGCUAAAAUUUAAAAUGUGCAUUUAUGUGUUUUUGGAUGAAAUUAAACGGAUUUGUGAUUAAAUGAGUUAAAUUUGAAUUGAUUUAGAUCAAGAAAGAAAGAAAUCAGAGUUAGAUCGGGAAAAGUCGAAAGUUGUCAAAUAGUCGUUCCAAUCCGUUCGUUUCUGUACGAGGUAAGUUCAUAAGUAAAUAAAUGUUUUCGAAUUUAAAUGUAUAUAUUUUAUACAUGGCUGAAUUUGAUUAAUUAUAGAUAUAUAUAUUGCCGAAUUUGAUUGUUUUAUAUAUUGCCUAAUUUGAAUUGUUUAUAGUUAUACAUUGUUGAAAUUGAUUUGUAUAUGAAGAUAAGGUGCCGAAUUAAUUCGUAUAUGGUUGUCCAUUGCUGAAAUUUAUUUGUAUAUGAUUAUUCAUUGUUGAAUUUGAUUUGUCAAUGGAUAUAAGUUGCCGAAUUAAUUCGUAUAUGGUUGUACAUUGCUGAAAUUUAUUUGUAUAUGAUUAUUCAUUGUUGAAUUUGAUUUGUAAAUGGAUAUAAGUUGCCGAAUUAAUUCGUAUAUGGUUGUACAUUGCUGAAAUUUAUUUGUAUAUGGUCAUUCAUUGUUGAAUUUGAUUUGUAAAUGGAUAUAAGUUGCCGAAUUGAUUCGUAUAUGGAUGUACAUUGCUGAAAUUUAUUUGUAUAUGAUUAUACAUUAUUGAAAUUGAUUUGUAUAUGGAUAUAAGUUGCUGAAUUAAUUCGUAUAUGGUUAUACAAUGUCAAUUUGAUUUGUAUAUGAUUAUACAUUUCUGAACUUGAUUCAUAUACGGUUAUACAUUGCCAAAUUGAUUUGUAUAUGAUUAUACAUUACCGAAUUUGAUUCGUGUAUGAAUAUAUACAUUGUUGAAUUGAUUUGAGCAUUGGAUGGCUGGUUACGUGCAUGAAAUGAUUUAAUUACGAAGUCAAUAGCUUUGAAUGAACCUUAGAAAAUGUAUUGAUUUUGAUGACAUGAUAUCAGGACUUCUGAAGUGUGAUUUCGUGUAAGACUAUGUCUGAGACAUUGGCAUCGAAGUAAGAAAACGUGUAAGACCAUGUCUGGGACAUCGACAUCGUAUAUGAUUUGUAUAAGACCCUAUCUGGGAUAGUGGCAUCGAUAUGCGUUAAUAUGUAAGACCAUAUCCGGGAUAUAGCAUUAUAUGAGCUUUAUAUGAUUUCUGUGUGUUCUUAACAAAUCCGAAUGUGAAUUUGAGUUGAAUGGUUCAGGUAUGUGUGAAGUUAUAUGUUUAUAAAAUAUAAAGGUAAGUUUAGUACUUAGUGUAAUAAUAUGAAUUUAUGUGAGAUAGUUAAAUAUAUAUGUGUUUAAGAUAUAUUUGAAUUUGACCUAGUUGAAAUGAAUUAUAAAUAUUAUUGAAAUGAUUUAUUUGCUUAUGGCUUACUAAGCUUCCAAAGCUUACUUUGUGCAUCCUUCUACUAUUUUAUAGUUUAUCGAAGCUAGCUCGGACUCGGGGAUCGUCAGGAAACGUCAUCAUACUAUCGAUCAUCUUGUUGGUACUUUUGAAGCUUUGUAUAUAUGGUAUAUGGCAUGUAUAGGCUAGUGAAAUUUUGUUAUAUUUUGAAUUGUAAUUCUAGCCAUGUGAGUUGGCUUGGAAAUGGUGUAUAUGAUGGAGUUGUGUUUGGGGUUAUGUUAUGAGAUGAAUCAUGGUAAUUGAUGUGUAUUUAUAUUAGCUAUGUGUUUAGCAUGUUUAUUACGAUAGUUGACGUUUUGAUGAUUUAAAUGAUGGCAAAGAAUGAACAUAUUUCAUGAUUGAUUGGAUGGUUAUUAAUUGAGUUCGAAAAAAAAUUGUAAAUGAGAUUAUAUUACUUUGUGCUUGAAUUGUAAUGAAUGAUUGUUUUGAACUUUGUUUUGAUCGGUAAUGCCUCAUAAUCCUAAUCCGGCGACGGAUUUGGGUUAAGGGUGUUACAUGUUAUAUGAUAUUUGGAAUUGAUAGUUUAAAAUUAAUUACUAUAUAGAUCGGGAUUUGACUCAAGUUGAGGAUAAUUAGAAAAAAAGGGAAAAUCACUGAUUAGUCCCUACAGAGCAACUGGUUUAUUGAUUUUGUCAGGUAAGAUCAUAUGGUAUAUUUAUGUUUUGAACCUUAUUUAUGUUAUAAUGUGAAUAUCUGUAAUUUAAUGAACCUUGAUUUAAUUGCAAUUUAGUACAAAAUGGAUGAGACUUGGAAUUAAUUUGUAAAUAGAUAACUAUGAACUUGUACGAAGGAAACUACCUUGAUGAAACUUCGUAAACAUAUCUUACACAUAGUUACAGGUUGAUUUUUUAUUAUACUGAGCUUCAGCAUUUGUUGUGGACUCGAAGAUACAUGUGACACAUAUUUAGCCUGAACUGGUAAUUUGUUGUCGUUUUAAAGAUUUAGCCUAGACUAGCAACCUUACAUGUAUUUAUAACUCUGGCCAAGCUAUUUGAUGUGUCGAUAUAAAGUUUUAGCCUGGAUGGGUAGCCUAACAUGAUUUUAUGCUCAGCUCAGUUGAGCCUAUGAUGAAAUUAAUACCUGUGUAAUCGAGUUGUUUAUUGAGUUUCAUCGGGUAAUACAAGAAUACAAAAGGUGAAGCGUAAAUGAGACAUAUCGUGUAUAUGCUCAAAUAUAUCAUUGUGAAAGAUAAAUUUUAAAAUUUGAUUAUAUAUAUACCUAUGAAUGGUUUGGAGUUAGUUUGAAAAUGAGUAUAACUCACCCUGUUGUAUUAUGUUUUGAUGAAUAAGGUAAACUUAAUUAUUCAUAUUAUUUUUACAUUCAUGAUUGUUAUUUGAGGUAAGUUAAGUUUUAUUUACAUAUGAGCUUACUAAGCACUUCGUAAUGCUUACUUGAUGUUUUCCUUUUUUGAAGAUUUUGAUUUUUGAAACGUGCCACUCGAAUCUUUGAGAAGCUCACACUAUCCAACCCUAGAUUCGAUAGAUUUUCAAUCGUUUGCUUUCGAUUAUAUGUGGCAUGUAACGGCCCUGUGACCCCGUAGUUGAAAAUUUUUAGUUUUUCUGGAAAUGUUCUGAUUUGUUCCAAUUUGGUCUCUAGUUGCUUGAAAGCUAUUUUUAAGGCAAAGUAGGCUCGAUUUAAGGCUCGUAAAUGCGUGAUUUAUUCCAAUUUGAAAUUUCUUAUGUAUUUAUUAAAUCAAAUUGAAAAUUAAUUUCUAUUGGCCAUAAAAUGUUCUAUUUUGUAACACCCCAAACCUGGCUUAAACAUUAGGGCCGAAUUUGGUGAUGUCACAUUGUAACACCCCUUACCCGUAUUCUAUGCUGGAAUAGGGUACGGGGCAUUACCAGCAUAAAUACACUUAUAAACAUAUUAAACCGAGUUAUAAAAUUUCAUCCAAAUUAAAAACUUUCAAAUUAUAAUCUUCGAGUCGCUAAUUAGGGUUUACGAGGCCCAAUACAUACCCAUUCAUAUGCUCAAUAUAUCCGUUAAAUCAAUCCAAUAUUGAAGAAUCCACUUUAAGUCAGAAUCAAUAUUAAUCACAAUCAUAAAUCUUUUCAUGUUAUUUUCAUAUAUCACUAACCGAACUUUGAAUGUCAAUUUACGAAUAUGUAAUUCACUAACACAUACUGAUAUACACAAUGUUUAAUUGAUGAAAUCAUUUAAUUGAGCUAAAUUUCAUAUUCACUCUAAAUUUUCUUCUAUAUCCAUAAAUGCUUUCACUUACCAUUUACCUAACCAAUUUCUUCAACCAAGCUAUCACACAACAAUAAUACAUCACCUGUGCUUCGUGAAUUCAAUGUUCGAAUCUUAUCACCAUCAAAUACAUGUCAUUCGAAUACUUAAAGUUUAUUCAAGCAUAUAUUAUUACGUUUCAUAUACCAAGCAUAUGUCAAAAUUACGAAUACGCAAUCAAUUCAUUUGUCAUUUAUUUGACUAGCAACUUAAUCUCAAAAUUCAUAACAUUCCAUUACUUAAGAUAUGCAAUAAAACACUCCUUUAACAUAAACUAGCACCAUGGCCGAAUUUUCAGUAUGCUAUUUAUUCCCCUUUUUCUGAAUCAUAUAGCAAAAUAUUACAAAUACGUAUAUAUUUGAAUACUAUAAUUAUGCAUCAACUUGCCAACAUGAGGUAAUUCAUGAGCCACUCAGGACAUCAUUUCGUGCCAAAUAUACCACACGCAUGUGCUAUGAAACUUUAUUUUCUCUCAUGAGCUUACCAUGACCAGUAAUGUACCAAUAUAAGCAUCACUCUUAUUUCAACAUUUAUCGAUUAUAAUCAGACAUUUAACCAAUUAUACACAAUUCAUUCAUAUAAUUUAUUAUCAUCCUCCUCCUCUCCAUCCCACACCCUUUAUGUAUAUAACAUGCUUAAAUAACAUUAUACAUAAUUUUACUAUUCACUUAUAUUUAAAUUCAAAGCUAUCUAGUCGAGUUACAGUCACUAAAUUAUUUUUAUCCGGAGUUAAAAAGCUCCAAAUUAAGUUCUGUUAAUUUUCCCUGAAACUAGACUCACAUAUAUUCUUACCAUAAAAUUUUCAAAAUUUUUGGCUUAUCCAAUUAGUACAUUUUAUUCUUUAAAGUCACCCCUAUUUCACUACUCAACAUCUCUAACCUCUCUUCACUAAAAAUGAAUUAUCUCAUUGUAAAGAAUUCAGAUGAUAUUUUCGUUUAUUUCUUUUGAAAAUAGACUCAUUAAGGAUUCUAAGAAUAUAAAUUAUAACUCAUACUUAUUUUUUUUUACAAUUUUUAAUUAUUUUCCAAAUUUAGAACAGGGGAUUCUGAAAUAAAUCCGAUCCUGCCUCACUAAAAUUCAAAUAUCUCAAAAUAUAUAAUUCUUUUUCUUGCUCUGUUUCUUUUAUGUAAAAAUAGACUCAUUAAGCUUUCAUCUCAUAUCUUAUUAACUCUCUAAUUCAAUUUCUACAAUUUUUGGAUAUUUUUCAAAGUCACACUAUUGUUACUGUCUAAAACUGUUUUGUUGCUAAUUUUACUUUUUCAUAAUUUCACUUUUUCACUUUCAAUCAUUAUUCAAUUCAAUUCCACACAUAUAUUCAUUUUCAAUCACACUUAAUCGUUACAUGAUCUCAUAUAUAUUCACUUAGUCAAUUUCCCGAUGAACACUUCAGAAUAAUAACAGAUACACGGUGGAUUCAACACACAGCAACCGCCCUUUGUAAUCAAUGAUAUCCGGUGGGAUUAGCACAUAGCAACCACCUUAUAAUUAAUGAUACCGGUUCACAUAGUAGCCUACACAUAGUACUAAACAUGUGACCAUCACUAUCCGAUACACGUAGUAGCCUGCACAUAGUACUACACACAUGAUCGAAGCUAUCCAGUACGCAUAGUAGCCUACACAUAGUACUACAAAUGCGACCUAUCAUUCUGGUACACGUAGUAGCCUGCACAUAGUACUACACAUGUGACCAUCACUUUCACUUUCACAUAGCGACCUACACACAGUCCAUGCCACACAUGUGAUCAUUUCUGUCACUUCAUUCGUAUCCCUUUUUAUUCCGAAUGUUCAAUCGGGAAAUUUCUCACUUUUUCCUUUUUCACUAAUCAAAGUCAAUUCCUUGUCUUUCUUGACUUCUAAUAACACAUUUAACUUAUUUAACACUCAAAUUAUUCAAUCCAGUCCAAAAAUCAUAUUUUGGAAAAAUUACAUUUUUGCCCCUAAAGUUUCACAAAAUUACGAUUUUGCCCCUAGGCUCAGAAAUUAAACUUUAUUCCUUUUUCUUAUGUUUUAUGACAUGCUGAAAAUUUUUCCCUUCUAUGGAAACAUCAAAUUCUCGCUUUAACACUUACUUAUGAACAUUAGGUAUUUUUAUCGAUUAUGUCAAUUUACUCGUUUUCACUUAAAAUCGGCUAGCAAAAGUUAUUUAACAUAAUUUCAAGCUUCAUAGUAUACCAAAAAACAUCAAAAUAAACACAUUUCACCUAUGGGUAUUUUUCCAAAUAUGAACCCUAGGUUAAAUUAUUGCUAGAAUAAGCUAAAUCAAGUUACCGGGACUCCAAAAACGUAAAGAACACUAAAAACGGGGCUUGGAAUCACUUACUAUGGAGCUUGGAAGCUUGAAAACCCUAAAUAUGGCUUCCCCCUUGCUGAUUUCGUUCACCAUGGAGAAGAUGGACAAAUUUUUGGCUAUUUUGGCCUUUUUAAUUCUUUUAAUUACUAAAUGACCAAAAUGCCUCCAACUUAAUAAUUUCCUAUUUCACUUACGUCUUGUCCAUUUUUGUCCAAAAAGUUAACCAAUGGCCUAAUUACCAUUUAAGGACCUCCAAUUUACAAUUUCAUAACAAUUGGACACUUCUAACAUGUAGAACUCAACUUUUUCACUUUUUACAAUUUAAUCCUUUUGACUAAAUUGAGUGCCCAAACGUCAAAAUUUUCGAACGAAAUUUUCAUGAAAUCAUUUUUUGAAAUCAUAUACCAUAAAAAUAUAAUGAAAAUAAAUUUUUUUGUCGAAUUUGUGGUCCCAAAACCACUAUUCCGACUAGCCCAAAAUUCGGGCUGUUACAUGUUUUGUAUGGUAAUACUCCGUAACCCUAUUACGACGACGGAAACAAGCUAUGGGUGUUACAGUUAUGCAUUGAAUUGAUUAUGAUUGUAUGAUUCAUUUUUAAUUUGAAUGUUAAUUGUUUAGUUAUGAAAUAAUUCCAUGUUUAAUUAAAAUAAUUGAUGUGAAUUGAAUGUGUUUUGUUUCUGAUUUGACUAUAGCACUCUAUAGCUCAGGUUCGGCUACCGAACUGGGUAAGGGGUGUUACAUACCUAUUCAAUUUCAGUUUUUGAAUUCUCCUAAAUUUUUGCAUUUUAUUCAAUUUAGUCUCUAAAAUCAAAAUAGCCAUAACUUUUAAUUUUAACCUUUGGUUUCAAAACUAACUUCAAUUACAUCCCUUAGGGACUCCCUAUUAUCAAAUAUUAUAUAAUUUUAACAUCAAUUUUAUAAUUUAUUCACUUUGGUCCUUUUGAACAGAACUAACCAUUUAAACUUUACAAUCUAGUCCUUUUUCACAUUUAAUAUUAAAAUCUAUUAAUUUAACAUCAAUUUCUUCAAGAAACCAUUAAUGAAAACUUUCAAGAACUUUAACAGUUUUACAAAUUGGCACAUAAGCUAGCUAAAUCAAACUCCCAUGACCUUAAAAGUAUAAAAAUUACAAAAAAAAAGAAUUUAAUUGAACUCACCGAUUGAUCAACUAAAUGUUGAAACCCUAGGCUGAUUUUCUAAACUCUUUGGCUAUGACUUUCGGUGGUGAAUGGAGAAGAUGAAACUUUCUUCUCUUUCUCCCCAAUUUUAUUUGUUUCGUUUAUUUUAUAAAUUUUAUUCUUUUAAUUAAUUUAAAUAUAAUUUUAAUAACAUAAUCACCAAACAUUCACCUACGGUACACUCCAACAAAUUCAAGAUGGAUUAUUUUCCAAAUUAGACCUUGGAUUAAUUGCAAUUUAAGUCCCCUAAGUCUUUGGCAAAUUAAAAACUUAUAGCCAUAAAAUUUUACAAUUUAGUAAUUAUACUUUAAUUAACUAUCAAUUCGGCAAAACUAGACCUGAGUUUAAUAUAUUUACAGACUCGAUUUACAGAAAUGGAGUUCCAAAACCAUAGUUUUUGACACCACUGAAAAUCGAGUUAUUACAAAAAGCAUUGAAGAAGCAAACAUCAUUUGAAGCAUAGUUUGGUUAUAAACCAUUGUUAAUGAAUUUAAAAACUUUUGGUUGUUUGUGUUUCUCUUAUGUUUCUAAGGUGAAAAGAGACUAAUUGGAUAAAAAGUUAGAACUGGGGUUUUUAUUGGAUAUAGUAGAGAUGUCAAGUUUUUGGAAAUAAAGAAGUGGAAUUGGGAUGAGUCAUCAUGUCAGUAGUAUUUUGAUUCUCGAAACCAUUUUUGUUUUGAAAAUGGGGUCGACUUUUAAAACGAAAAUAGAGUCGCCACCAAUCUUUUUUCAAGGUGUGGUCGGGUCACCUUGAGAUUAAUCAUUUUAAUAAAACAUUUUGAUUUAUUAAAAUAAUGAUUUUGGUCUACAAAAUUCGAGAAAAUGAGCUUGGGAGUCGGUUAUAUGCACGAGGAAUGAUUAGCACCCUCGUAAUGCCCAAAAAUUGGUACCUAAUUGAUUAAUUAACGUCCUAAUGUCGAAAAUUUGAAAAGAUUUUAAAAUACGAUCCUCUUUAAAAACCUGAAUAAAUCGAAUUUGAUGUUAAGACCUCCUUGUCCCGAAGUAAUAAGAUGUCACAUCCAGUAAGUUAGGAUACGACAUUUUAACCCUCGAAACUAAGCUUGUCUCAUGCAUUAAAGUUUAAAAAGGAUAUUCAGUUAUUUGGAUAAAAAAAAUCAAAACCCAGUAAGUUAGGGCAUGAUUUUCUCAAAGCUCCAAGGUACCGAAUAUUGCCUUAUUUUUAAAAGUUUUCUUUUUUAAAAUUGGGAAAAAUUGACGCAAUAGUAAGACGAUGUGUAAAAACUUUGAUAAGAAAACGGCAAUAUGAAAAUACAAAUAAACAAUUUAUAAAACACAUAAUGGCAAUUAUUUAAAUACUAGCAUCAAUAAUCAAAGACCAAUGAAUUUAAAACAAAGAGUAUAAAAAAAAUAUAAGGCAAAAUAAAAUGUAAACAAAUUUAAAAAUAAUGAAUUUGAAAAUGAAUAAUAAGGGAAAAAGAAAUUUGAAAUCAACAAUAUACAAAUCAAUAAAUAAAUUAUAUAUAUAAAAAAGUAGGUAAUAUAUGUAUAAGUUUGGAAUAAAUAAUAUAUAAAAAUGAAAAUAGGUAAUAUAUAAAGUAAUAAUAUAUAAAUGAGUUUAAAAAUAAAUAUUGUGUAAUAAGGAAUUUAGAGCAAGUUAUACCCAAAACAUCUUAAAAAUAAAUGGUAUAUAAAAUAGAUAGUAUAAAAAAAGUUUGCAAUUGAUAAUAUAUGGAAAAAAAAUUAAACAACAUGUGUGACAUAAUGUUAAAAACAAAUAAAGUAUAUAAUUAAUGGGAAAAAAUAAAAGAAUGAUAAGAAUGGUUAAAUGAAUGAACAAUAUGUAAAUAAGAAAGUUGAUGGAUAAAUAAAUGAAUAAAAGUAAAAGAAUAAUUAAUAAUUAAACAAUUAAAUGAAUAAAUAAAAAAGGUUAAAAAAAUGCUUAAGUCAGGCUAACUCUCACAAUAUGAAGAUUCAACGAAAUUCCUCCACAAAAAUUCAACUCAAAUGAAAGCAACUUAAAAAAAACAAAGAUGAGUGAAGAACAAAGUAAGAACAAGCCACAGAAAAUAAGAACGCAAGAGAGGAAGAAAUUUGAGUGAAUGCUCUUAAGAAUUAUUAUUGCUCCAAACUCAAGUGUUUUACAAUGAAGGGAGAGGCCUCUAUCUAUAGUUGAGCCUCCCCAAAUCCAACGGUAUAAAUCAAUUACAUCAACGGCUAAGAUUAAAGGGUAUCUACAAAUUAAAUCUCUAAGAUUACAAAAUUAUAUCUUCUAAUAUUGCAUAUGAUCAUAUCUAAGAUUGCAUAUACUUGAAGAUUAUGUUUCCAUAUGCGUCAAACUUGUAUAUGGACCUUCAACCUUUUCAAGUAAUGGGUCCUUCCGAUCGGGCCAAAUGAUAUAAUUUUAGACUGGACUUAGACUUUGUUUUAUUAUUUUGGGUUUUUUUUUGUGAGCCCAGGCUAAAUUGACCUAUUACAUUGAUGAAGACAUUGAAGGAUCUUUUAGUUAGAAGCAUGAGGACACUUUCCAAUAUUUAUCAUAGGUGUAAUGUAGUUGUUUUUUAACCAACCGAUUUUCUAUUGAACAUGAAAAAUGGAGGGUUGCAAUGUAAGAGGAGUUGAAUAUGAUUGAGAAAAACGACACUUGGGAGCUAGUGGACAGACCUUCACACAAGAAACCUAUCGGGGUUAAAUGGGUUUACAAAACCAAAUUCAACCCUGACGAUUCUUUAAACAAUUGUAUAAGGCAAGGCUGGUCAUUAAAUGAUAUGCACAAAUGUUUGGCGUAAUUUUUUCAGAUACAUUUGCACCAAUAACUCGUUUGGAUACUGUACGAAUGUCACUGACUCUUUCAGCUCAAAAAGGAUGGAGGUUAGAAAGAAGGAGAACUACAACUUAUCUACUGCAAUAGUGAAAGUAAAAAAUGCAAAUAUUUUUAACCAAAGCUCUUCCUAAAAUAAGAUCUGAAUUUCUACGAGAAAGGCUUGGUGUUGCAUCUUCUAAGUCAAGGAGGAGUGUUGAAAGUGAUGUCUAAGAAUCUGCUAAGAAUCAGUCGUUGCAACAAAAUUUCUUUGCAAGAUUUAAACUUGAUUUCCUAUUUUUCUUUUUUUUGAAAUUUUGUUGCUAUCUUUUCGUUACAUUUUACUGUAUAAAAACAAAUUUGAUCAUAUUCAAUAAAAUGUGUGUUCAGUGCAUGUUUCUUUUUACCAACAAAGAAGGAAACUCAAUGUUAAGACCAAGCUUAUCAUGCCAAAAAGAUAAAAGACUCCAGGUGCUUAACGGCAACCCCAACAAACAAGCAUAUACGGAAACAAGCAUAAUUGGUGUCUUUGUUUAACAUUUUCUUAAGUUUGUUUAUGUUUAUAUCUGCUUCUACUUUUACUGUCACGUGUGUUCCUUAAACUCUUGUUAAAUUACCAAAAAAAAUCCAAUGAAGUGUCGCAUAAUCCAAAAGUGAAAAUCAGGAGGGAAAGUUCUAGGACGUGACAACAUCCUGUUGUCAUCUGUGCAAGGACUGGAAGAGAAAUUAUUCUAGACAGCAAUAAGAACAAUUUGCUGCUGUGCAUGCUGCUAUUACAUGGAAAUAAACAGGUAGGAGUAGCGGAACGGCAGAUAAUAGGUACGUAUCAAUUAUCAUGCCAGCAGCAGCUCACUUAUAUAGAUAUAUGUCUGCUGGUUUAUCCAAAACCCGUGGGAUCCCCGACUAGAUACGUUAUAAGAAAAAUAUUGGGAAGGAAUUUGAACAAGCGAAAUCAGUUUCAGAGGUAGAAUUCAGGAUGCCCCACAAGUGGUUCCACCAAAGUUUACAGCACUGGUUUAGGGUACCCCUUCCCCAACAAAGUCUCAAAAGUUGAUUUGUCGUUGCUCCUUGGAAUCUUCAUUGCGAUUUCCGUAGUUAUUGGGGAAUUUUGAUUAUCUUUCUUGAUGAUAGCAUGACCCGUGACUUAUCCAUAUUUCCUUCCCUACAUCUGGCCUUCAAUGUCAGUAACUUAGAACUUUAGAUUCACGGUCAUGUAUUGAUUGCCAUCUACUUAUAUUGAAUGGAUUUCAAUGCUCAAUGAAGUGGAUUUCCACUUCACCUAAAAAUAUGAAAACGACUUUUUCAACCUAAGCACGAGGAUUAGGAUACUAAUUUCUUUGAUAUUAGAGACAACAAUAUAAACAUCUUUGAUUCUGAAAGCUUCUGUACAUAGUCAGAAAUUGAAUAAUGAAGCUACUGUUUCACUUGGAUAACUCCAAUCCUGUCAAACAUUAUAAAUGAUGAAAACAUGCAUCCAUUUUUUUUUCUUUCCAUCUAUUUAUAGGUAACAAGCAGCUAUAUUGGUCGAAAAUGGAGAAUAAUGUAGUUGAAGUUGAAACAUCUUUUUCUCGCCUGACAAACUCACAGGAACGGGUACAUUCAUAGCUCUGCAACAGUGUCCUCAUCAUCGAUUCAUAUUUUCAAUCAAGCGAUUGAUUAAUGAAAAAUAGGUUAUUUCAAUUAGAUACAUUUAAUUGUUUGUAGAGUGAGAUUCAAUUAUUUAUCACCUUACUACAUUAUUUUAAUUAAAUUAUGGAUCGAAAAAAUCAUGUAAUUAAUUUAUAAAUAUGAUUUUGAUUGAAAUUGUAAAGUUGAGUGAACUCUUCAGUUUAAAUUAUAUUUAUUGUUGCGCUUUUUGGUAAUUUUAUAACUAAAUUAGAACUCGUGUAACAUUAACUUGAAUUGAUCCAAUAUAUAAUUUGAUAAAUAAACUUUGAUUUGGUGUAAUUAUAUUAAUGAAACGUGAAUUGUGGUUCAUAUGUAUAUAUGAAAUUUUGAUUUUGAUUCAACUGUAGAUAUUUGAAGAAAUAAAUAGAUGCAUACAUUUAUUUUCAUAUUGGAUUAAUAUAAUUAUUUGUAUAUUCAAUAACGUAAAAUGGUACUAUAAUAAUAAUAGUGAUUUGUGAAAAUUGAAUAAAAUUAAAAUUUAUUUAUAACAUUUGAAAAUAAUAAAAUUUGUGACAAUUUUUUUGUUUUUACAUAAUAUUUUGAUUUUUUUUAAAAAAUUAUAUUUAUAAUUUUUAAAAAUUUUAAUAUUUUAUAUAAUAUUUUUACUUUUUAAAUUUUUUUAAUUAUUUAUAUAUUAUAUAUGAUUUUUUACAUUUUUAAACAAAAUAUUACAUAUAAUAUUAAAAAAAGAGAGUGAUGUGGUGCGUUCUAAUAGCGACACGUGGACGGUCAAUGGUGGUCAAUAUCGGUCAACAUAUAAUUGGACCCAAUACAUGAAAGGUCCAACCAGGCUUUGUAGAACACAAGGGGCAACAAACCCUAGUAAUCCAUAAAGAAUGUAGUUGCCCCUUACCUCUUCUACUUAGAAUAGAAGUUGUAUUUUCUAUUAAAAUAUUUUAUUAUUUAAUUAGAUUUUAUUUGAAUAGAACUCUUAUACUUAUUCUUUAUAAAUAGGUAUUAUGUGUUGAACUAUUACACACAUUCUUUACGUCAUCAUUUUGUCAGAAAAGCAUGGAAAUUUAUUUUACAAAAUAAAUACUAUUUUUUAGGAAAAAAUAGUUACCGGUUAAAUAGAGAAUUAGAUUUACUAGUGAAAGUUAAUAAAAGUUUUCACUUUGUGCAAUUGAUUCGUGAUUCUUUGAGGCUACACUCAAAGCAAGAUGUGGUUCGGGAAUAGCAGAAAAGGUCGUUCAAUAGAAAAUUGGGAUCCACUUAACUGCAUCGUAUAAAACACAAAUAUAAUUUUAAAUAAAGUUUAUUGCUAUAAAUAUCAAAAUGGCUCGGUUUUAAAGAAAAUUUUCAAACUUCCAUUGUGCCUAAAAAUAUUGUUUUCUAAACCUAUUUUCCCAACAAUACUUGGUUUUUAUCCUAAGUUUUUAGAGGGGAAACUUAGAAGAGAGUGGUCUAAAUCCUAGGUGCAAAAGUGAGAAUUCUAAUAUAAUAAGUAUUAGAGCUAGUAAUCACUUGUACGUGGUGUUAAAAUAGCAUAUUAUUUUUCUAAGCAAAACCCCACAAACAUAGAAAAAUUGAACUACGUAAACAUGUAUGUUCUUCAUUGUUUUUCAUUGUUCCUCAUCAAUUCAUGAAACAGUUGACACUAAUAGAAUUUGUUUGCAAGUAGAGUUUUUAUUCUACUUUUAGGCCAUCUAAAUAAAAGAUAACACAAGAUAUAUAUGGUCCAAGAUGCCCAUCACAUUAACAAGUUACGAGUAGCAGCAAAUGAAGAUGCAAACCGUAGCUCUCUAAACAUAGUGGUAGAAGAAGCAAGACCUAUUGUAGUCCUGCCAAGCCUGCACCUGUGGUUGCCAAGGAUUGUUGGCUAAUAUUGGAACCCACCCACAUUGUUUGAAAAGUCAAAAAGGGUGGGCACUGAAAGUAGAAAGUAAGAUUGGUUGGCAAGUUGGGUUAAAAGUUGGCAUGGGAUAAUUGCAAUUUUGGUCCCUAAUUGUAUAGGGACAUUGCAAGUUGAUCCUUAAACCUCAACUAUAAAUAGGCCUAACCAUUUCUUACUUUCUUCAUCCCACACUUGCCAUUCUCUACUUAAGGCAAUUGUUCUCUCUCCCUAUUUGUAAACUUUCACUUGUAUUUUUGGAGUGAAAUAUAUUUGGUAAUGCCCGAGGACGUAGGAAAAAUUUGCUGAACCUCAUUAAAAUUCUAGUGUUCUUUAUUUUUUGUUCUGCAUAUUUUGCAAGUGUCAUUGUAGUGAUUUAUUGUGCUAUUAAAUUACGAUAGAGGGAUAUUCUGGCUAGGAAAGAUCUGGUAUGUAAGUGAUCCUCGUGAUCCACCUCUCUUUCCUGGGAAUUGAACUUAGUGUGAUUUUUCAGUACAAUAAUUUUACUCUUUCACACGCUUCCGCGCAACAAUUGGUAUCAGAGCCAGGUUCGUACUUGGGGAAUACGACCGUUUACGGUACUAUUCACGUAUACGGCACUAUUCACGUAUAUGACACUAUUUAUGUAUACGGUACUGUUCACGUAUACAGUAGUUGGGAUUGAGGAGAAAAAUGGCAGCAGCAUCGUCAUCAGCAAGGACUACUGUGACAAAUGCAAAAUUUGAAGUAGAGAAAUUUGACGGUACCAAUAAUUUUGGUAUGUGGCAAUGUGAGAUCCUGGAUGUCUUAUGUCAGCAAGAGCUAGAUAUAGCCAUUGAAGAAAAACCUGACAAGAUGGAUGACAAGGAGUGGGCCAAGAUCAAUAGACAGGCGUGUGGUACAAUCCGCCUAUGUUUGGCCAAAGAGCAGAAGUACUCUGUCAUGAGGGAGACAUCAGCGAAGAAGUUAUGGGAUACACUGGAAGAAAAGUUUCUAACGAAAAGUCUUGAAAAUAGGCUUUAUAUGAAAAAGAAACUUUAUCGAUUCACGUAUGCACCCGGUAUGUCGAUGAAUGACCAUGUGAACUCAUUCAAUAAAAUUUUAGCAGACUUGCUAAAUUUGGAUGAGAAAUUUGAAGAUGAAGACAAGGCAUUAUUGUUGUUGAAUUCCCUUCCUGAUGAAUAUGAUCAUCUUACCACCACAUUGCUUCAUGGGAAGGACACGAUCACAUUUGAUGUAGUCUGUAGUGCGUUGUAUAGAUCUGAGACUCGAAAGAAAGAUAAAAGAGAUCACAGAGAUACAACCGCAGAAGUCUUAACAGUAAGAGGUCGUUCACACAGCAGUAAAUCUGGUAGAAGGGGAAAGUCCAAAGGGAGACCCGCCAAAGAUGAAUGUGCCUUUUGCCGUGAAAAAGGACAUUGGAAAAAGAAUUGUCCUAAGCUACAAAAGGGCAAGGCUAUUUCUAAUGCAUGUGUAGCGGAGCAUGAUGAGGAGUCAGACUUUAGCUUGGUUGGCAUGGCAAUGGCAUGUCAAACGGAUGAGUGGAUUUUGGAUUCAGGAUGUACUUACCAUAUGUGUCCUAAUAAGGACUGGUUUUCUAGUAUUAAAGAGCUAGAAGGUGGAAUUGUUCUUAUGGGCAAUGAUAGUGCUUGUAAGACAAUGGGAGUGGGUACAGUCCAAUUGAAGAAUCACGACGGCUCAAUCCAAGUCUUGACAGAUGUUCGCUACGUACCUAGCCUGAAGAAAAAUCUCAUCUCAUUAUGUGCCCUACAAUCUAAAGGGCUCACAAUCACUUUGAGAGAUGGAUUACUAAAAGUAGUAGCUGGGCAACUGACGGUGAUGAAAGGCACAAGAAGAAAUAACUUGUAUUUUUUAAAUGGAAGUACAGUUAUUGGAUCAACAUCAACAGUUUCUACAAAAGAUGUAAUUCAGAGGCUACCAGAUUAUGACAUAUGCGAUUGGGACAUGCUGGUGAAAAAGCUUUGCAGAUAUUGGUGAAACAAGGCUUAUUGAAAGGUGCAAAUUCUUGCAAAAUGGAAUUCUGUGAACAUUGUGUUCUGGGCAAGCAGAAGAGGGUAAAAUUUGGUCCAGCAAUUCACAAUACGAAAGGAAUUCUGGACUACGUUCACAGUGAUGUGUGGGGACCUACCAAAGUAGCUUCUUUGGGAGGUAUGCACUAUUUUGUUACUUUUGUUGAUGAUUAUUCAAGAAAAGUAUGGGUGUAUCUAAUGAAAAGAAAAAGUGAAGUUUUGGAUGCAUUUCUGAAAUGGAAGAAGAUGGUAGAGACUCAGACUGGUCGAAAGGUCAAACGACUUCGAUCAGAUAAUGGUACUGAGUACAAAAACGAUCCAUUUCUACAAGUAUGCCAAGAUGAGGGCAUUGUGCGACACUUCACUGUUCGGGAUACACCACAGCAAAAUAGGGUGGCAGAACGAAUGAAUCGAACUAUACUGGAGAAAGUUCGAUGUAUGUUGUCCAAUGCUGGAUUGGGCAAAGAAUUUUGGGCUAAGGCAGUUACAUAUGCGUGCCAUCUAAUUAACCGUUUGCCAUCAGCUGCAAUAAAUGGAAAAACUCCUAUGGAGAUGUGGACUGGUAAAUCUGCUACUGAUUAUGAUUCAUUGCAUGUAUUUGGUUCCACUGCAUAUUAUCAUGUAAAAGAAUCUAAGUUAGACCCAAGAGCAAAGAAAGUAUUAUUUUUGGGUAUAACUGAUGGAGUAAAAGGAUAUCGUCUCUAGUGUCUUGAUACAAGGAAGAUUGUUUUCAGUAGAGAUGUGACUUUUGAUGAAUCAACCAUGUUGAUGUACAAGGAUUCACAAAAGGAUGACAAAACCAGUAGUACUUUGCAGCAGGUGGAGCUUGAAAAGGUUAACGAUGAUCCAGCUAAUAUUGAAGGGACAAAUGAUGAAGAGGUUCCUACCCAAGAACCUCUACAGCAACAAGAUUCAAUUGCAUAUAGAAGGCCAAGAAGAGAGAUUCGUAAGCCUGCUCGCUUUGAUGAUAUAGUGGCCUAUGCACUUCCAAUUACAGAUGAUGAUGUUCCUUCUACUUACACAGAAGUAAUAAGUAACCCUGAUGGUGUAAAGUGGAAGCAAGCAAUGAAUGAAGAAAUGCAGUCUCUUCAUAAAAAUAAGACCUGGGAGUUGGUGACACUACCCAAGGGAAAGAAGGCAAUUGGAUGCAAAUAGGUAUAUGCAAAGAAGGAAGGAUUUCCUGAUAAAAAUGAAAUUCGAUACAAGGCUAGAUUAGUAGCAAAGGGUUACGCUCAGAAAGAAAGAAUAUACUACAAUGAAGUGUUUUCUCCAGUUGUGAAGCAUUCGUCUAUUCGGAUUUUGCUAGCCUUGGUUGCGCAAUAUGAUCUUGAACUAGUUCAGCUUGAUGUGAAGACCGCGUUUUUACACGGUGAUUUGGAAGAGGAAAUCUAUAUGACUCAGCCAGAUGGAUUCAAGGUUGCUGGAAAAGAAAAUUGGGUUUGCAAACUGACAAAGUCGCUUUAUGGAUUGAAACAAUCUCCGAGGCAGUGGUACAAGCAAUUUGAUCAGUUCAUGAAAGGGCAAAGGUACACAAGAAGUAAAUUUGAUCAUUGCGUGUAUUUUCAGAAGCUACAAGAAGGAACUUUCAUAUACUUGCUCUUAUAUGUUGAUGAUAUGCUAAUAGCAUCUAAGAGCAAAGUUGAGAUUGAAAGAUUGAAGACUCAACUCAAUCUCGAGUUUGAGAUGAAAGAUCUAGGAGAAGCUAAAAAGAUUCUCGGCAUGGAAAUAUGGAGAGAUAGAGCUCAUGAUAGAGUUAGCUUGUCUCAGAAGCAGUAUUUGAAAAAGGUACUACAGCAGUUUGGCAUGAACGAGCAGACAAAACCUGUAAGUACCCCGUUGGCUUCUCAUUUCAAGCUUUCUGCACAACUAUCUCCUUCGACGAAUACGGAACGAGAAUACAUGUUGCAAGUUCCGUAUUCUAAUGCAGUGGGUAGCUUGAUGUAUGCAAUGGUGUGUACAAGACCCGACAUUUCACAGGCAGUUAGUAUAGUGAGCAGGUAUAUGCAUAAUCCUGGAAAAGGACAUUGGCAAGCUGUGAAAUGGAUUCUACGGUAUAUUCAGAAGACCGUGGAUGUUGGAUUACUGUUCAAGCAGGAUAAUACACUUGGUAAAGGUGUUAUUGGGUACGUUGAUUCUGACUAUGCCGGUGAUUUGGACAAGCGAAGAUCAACCACCGGUUAUGUGUUUACACUUGCUGGAGGACCAAUAAGUUGGAAGUCUACACUACAGUCUACAGUUGCAUUGUCAACCACAGAAGCCGAGUACAUGGCUGUAACAGAGGCUGUAAAGGAGGCUAUUUGGUUACAAGGUAUGGCUAAAACCUUGGGGUUGGUUCAGGAGCAUAUUAACGUGUAUUGUGAUAGUCAAAGUGCUAUUCAUUUAGCAAAGAAUCAAGUCUAUCAUGCACGUACAAAACAUAUCGACGUACGAUUCCAUUUUGUGCGGGAAAUUAUUGAAGAGGGGAAAAUUUAUCUUCAGAAGAUCAAGACUACAGAUAAUCCCGCAGAUAUGAUGACCAAGGUGGUAACAGCAACCAAGUUCGAACAUUGUUUGAACUUGAUUAAUAUCCUGCAAGUUUAACAGUUGAAGAAGGCACUAUCAAGUAUUGUUGUCAAAGGCAGAAAGAAUUGUGUGAAGAUAAGAUUAUCCUAAUCAAAUCUUCAAGGUGGAGAUUAUUGGAACCCACCCACAUUGUUUGAAAAGUCAAAAAGGGUGGGCACUGAAAGUAGAAAGUAAGAUUGGUUGGCAAGUUGGGUUAAAAGUUGGCAUGGGAUAAUUGCAAUUUUGGUCCCUAAUUGUAUAGGGACAUUGCAAGUUGAUCCUUAAACCUCAACUAUAAAUAGGCCUAACCAUUUCUUACUUUCUUCAUCCCACACUUGUCAUUCUCUACUUAAGGCAAUUGUUCUCUCUCCCUAUUUGUAAACUUUCACUUGUAUUUUUGGAGUGAAAUAUAUUUGGUAGUGCCCGAGGACGUAGGCAAAAUUUGCUGAACCUCGUUAAAAUUCUAGUGUUUUUUAUUUUUUGUUCUGCAUAUUUUGCAAGUGUCAUUGUAGUGAUUUAUUGUGCUAUUAAAUUACGAUAGAGGGAUAUUCUGGCUAGGAAAGAUCUGGUAUGUAAGCGAUCCUCGUGAUCCACCUCUCUUUCCUGGGAAUUGAACUUAGUGUGAUUUUUCAGUACAAUAAUUUUACUCUUUCACACGCUUCCGCGCAACAGCUAAGGACAAUGGGAAUGAUCUAAUCCCCAUGUACUCUUAGGCUUCAAGCUAACCUUCAAAUGAGAAAGUAUUUUCUCUAUUUAGAAUCUUCAUCAUUAUUUUUUAAUUGCUACCGUCCACCGCUGAUUAUUUCCGAAAAUCCUCAUUAACCCAAGUCUCAGAUUUUAAACAUAUCGUGAACAACCUUAUUUUUAAACUCAAAUAAUCGUAUCUUCUUUCUUUUUAAUCUUAGUUAGUUUGUUUAAAUUUAGUUAUGAUUAUAGUUAUUCUAAUGUAUUAAUUGAAACUGAAACACCUUUUAAAAAAAUUUAAGAAAUUUAAAAAAAAAUAUGUUUUAUGGGGAUGAAUUUGAGUCAAAUUUGUGAGACUUAAUUAGAAAAUUUGAGGUGGAGAGAAUUUGGAAAUGACGUAGAAAAUGAGUUAUAAGUCUCACUUAUGCCUUCAUUCAUGACUUUCUCCAACAAGAGGUGCAUAUUCCUUCAUUACAGUACACACGACAUGCGGAGGGAAACAACUUUGAAUUAAUUUCCACAUUCCUUGGUAAAUGGUAAUGGUAAUUUUAAUUUCCACAGCUUUGCGUCGAGCGUGAGUGUCACGGAGAAGAAACGCGCUUGGACUUGUUUAUUUUAAUUCAUGAACCAACCAAUUGAUUUACUAUAUAUAACGCAAGAAAAACGGUGGUUUUCCGUUUGGACAUCAAGGUUGGAGAAAAUCUCGUUUCACCAUUACAAAAUCUUUCUGUCUCCCCCCUCUCCCACUUUGCAUACACCGGCGGCGCCACCUCUCCAUCGCGGCCACCGCCCCUGCCACUAUGCAAUUCAAUUAUUAUGAAAAGAUCCUUUUCCUUUACCGAAACUAGUUUUUUCUGGUCCCAUAUUUCUUUUUCCAGCUCCAAUAACACGCAAAAAAACAUCAAUACAAACCCCGUAUAUAGAAUUGUCCAUCUUUCUUUGCAUUCCUUCGAACCUUGCCCUUUUUACAAGGACAGUUGGGAACAAAACAUUCACCGUUUCGUCGUUGCCCUUGUCCUUGUGUUUUAUCUUCCUGGGAAAAGGAUCCUGGUCAUAAUUUGAUAUAUUGUGAUUUGAAAGGCCCUUGCUUGUUUCCAAGUCCGCUUAGGCCAUGGAGGACAUUGUGAAACAGAUCUUGGCAAGGCCAAUACAAGUGGCAGACCUUAUAGUCAAGGCUGCCGAUGAAGCACAAUCUUUCAAACAAGACUGCCUAGAGCUUAAAACCAAGGCCGAGAAGAUAUCAGCGCUCCUCCGUCAAGCUGCUCGUGCCAGCAACGAACUUUACGAACGCCCGACACGCAGGAUUGUGGACGACACCGAACAGGUCCUCGAGAAGGCCCUAGCUCUUGUCCUCAAGUGCGGGGCAACCGGUUUCAUAAAGCGAGUUUUCACCAUUAUCCCUGCGGGAGCCUUUAGGAAAUUAGCGAUACAACUCGAGAAUUCUAUAGGAGACGUUUCGUGGCUGUUGCGCGUGUCAUCCUCGGAUGGUGAACAUGAUGAUGAAUAUCUCGGGCUUCCUCCUAUCGCAGCCAACGAACCAAUAUUGUGCCUUAUAUGGGAACAGAUUGCCAUUCUUUAUAAAGGUACAGUAGAAGAACGAUCUGAUGCUUCUGCUUCCUUGGUUUCCUUGGCUCGGGACAAUGAUCGAUACGGUAAGCUGAUCGUAGAGGAAGGAGGGAUCCCUCCUUUAUUGAAGUUGUUGAAGGAAGCGAAGCCAGAAGGUCAGGAGAACGCAGCAAGGGCGAUUGGGUUGCUGGGACUUGAUCCGGAAUGCGUGGAACAGAUUGUUAAUGCUGGUGCUGGCUCGGUGUUUGCGAAAAUCCUCAAAGAAGGUGACAUGAAGGUUCAAUCCUUGGUGGCUUGGGCUGUAUCAGAAUUAGCAGCGCAUUACCCCAAAUGCCAAGACCAUUUUGCGCAGAACAAUAUAAUCCGGUUUCUCGUGAGCCAUCUCGCCUUUGAGACCGUUCAAGAACACAGUAAGUAUUCCAUUACGAGUAAGCAAGCCAUGUCUGGUAAUCCGGGUGGUGCGGAACCUAACCAGAUGCACAAUGUGGUUGUUAACUCUAUGGCUAUGAGAAGCCAGGUUCCUGAGGGUCCUAAGCUAAAUAAACCACACAGUUCGUCAGGAAGUCACCACCUCCCUCCCAAAGGCAACCUACAACCCGCCAAGUCAAACCAGCAUCACCAUCACCACCACCAUCCACAAGGACACCAUGUUUCAUUAUCUGGAACUAGCAUCAAGGGAAGGGAAUUUGAGGACCCAGCCACCAAAGCACAAAUGAAGGCGAUGGCGGCUAGAGCCCUGUGGCAGCUUUGCGUGGGAAAUCUUGGUAUAUGCCGUACCAUUACGGAAUCAAGAGCUCUAUUGUGCUUUGCAAUUCUAUUAGAGAAGGGCUCCGAAGAUGUACGGUCGUAUUCAUCCAUGGCAUUGAUGGAAAUCACGGCUGUAGCGGAGCAAAAUCCUGACCUGAGACGCUCUUCAUUCAAGCCUACAGCCCCUGCUGCCAAAGCUGUUGUGGACCAGAUGCUCAAAGUCAUACAGAAGGCAGAAGACACAGAUCUCCUAGUGCCUUGCAUCAAAUCGAUUGGAAACUUGGCCAGGACUUUCCGAGCAACCGAAACCAGGAUGAUUGAACCGUUGGUGAAACUGCUUGAUGAAAGGGAAGCGGAUAUUACCGUGGAGGCUGCCAUUGCACUUAACAAGUUCGCCACACCUGACAAUUACCUCCAUGCUAUUCAUUCAAAAGCCAUCAUCAGUGCGGGAGGCGCCAAGCAUCUAAUUCAACUAGUUUACUUCGGAGAACAAAUGGUUCAGUUUCCUUCUUUGACCCUGCUGUGUUACCUUACCUAUAAUGUUCCUGACAGUGACAGCCUUGCAAAAGAAGAGGUUCUUAUAGUUCUGGAGUGGGCAUCAAAGCAAGCUCAUCUAAUGGGAGAUCCUAAUAUUGCUGAACUAUUGCCAGAAGCCAAAAGUAGAUUGGAACUCUAUCAAACUAGGGGUUCAAGAGGAGUCCAUUAACUUGAAUUUUUAAUCAUUUCGUGCAUCAUUUUCUGAAAUAGUUCAGUUUUUGUAAAGUUUUAUUCCACCGCCAUGAACUGUACAUACAUUAGCAUUGAUGUCAACACUGUUAUGGGCUUAUGGUAGUUCUAUAGGAGACACUUAUUAUCGCUCUUAGGCAAUAAAGAUUAUGCUUCUUACGUUAACCUUAUUCUUUCACUUUUCUCCCUUCUUACUCUUGUUAUCUUGCAUACAUACAUCAUCAAUCUCUGCCCUAACUCUACAAAUUUCCGUAUGUAAUCUCAGUCUAAAUUUCGUUAUUUCAUGUUACUAUUGUGUGUGUGUACCGGCUACAUUUAAAUUGCUUGAACCAACUCACCUAAUUCUCGAGGAAAUUUGGAUUUUGUUUGUUUCUUCACUUUAAACCGGUUGGGUUAUGCUAGGUCCAAUUUUAAAGAACAGAGCAUGUUAGCCAAAUACUGUCCAUUAUCGCUUUUAUUUCUGAAUAAAAACAAUAGUCGCUUUAACUCUUGUUGCUCAUGCAACAUGUAAUGGAUCCAAACAAAGUCCCCUGCUUUCAGCUUUUUGAAUUCUGGUUUUUGAUUUGACAGAUGAAGCUGGCUUCAUUCUGGGUCUCUAUUUUUUUUUUCUUGUAAGUGGAUCAAUAGGUUAGCUGUGAAGAACAAAAAUCUCCUGCCCCUUUUGCAUGCGUGUCCCUUCAGUGUAAGAUUGAGAAAAUCCCAUUCUCUCGACAAACACGCCACCAAAAUUGAACUGUUUACUUCUAUAAAAUCAACUGUCAAGAAAAGUAUAGCCUAGUAAGAAUUCCUUUUCAUUCUUUUGAACGUAAAAUUGAAGUCUUUUAUUGCUGAGACUUUCUACAAUAAUUAUUUUCUAUACAGUACAAUUAAGCAUGAAUAUGACUUCGGAGGAAAGAUAAAUACUUUUACAUAACAAAAAUAUAUUGCAUCUCGAUGCUGGAUUUUUUUCAAUGAAAACCAUAUCCAAGAGAAGCUUAAUAUAAUCAGAAAAGUCUUUCUUAAUUCCAAGAGAAAUACCUAGACGUGAUCAAGUGGCCACACAAAGAAAGCUUUCAACAAGUAUUGCUUGCCUAUUGAAAUCCCAAAUGCAGCAAAACAUAUAUUUGAAGUGUUAAAUCCUAUGGCUGAGGUAGCAGAAUUGAGUCAUUGUGAAAUUAUAUAUAGCAAAACAUACAUACACACAGACAUAACAUACGUAUAUGAAUAGAAGUUUAGUAUUUCCCAAUAAAGAUGAAACAGUGAAGUCUUCAAAGUUGAGGCUGCAAUAUUAAUGAUCCUAAUUGAUUCUUGAAAUAAAGAGAACUAGAGAAGUCAAUGUGAUGUAUAAAGUAAUAAAACAACCAUGUAUAUUGUGUUAUAAUUUGUUGGUAUUGAAAAUGAAUUGCAACAGGCAUCACUAUCUAUUUGCCAGCACUAUAUAUAAAUGUCGACUAUUUAUAUGAGAGAUAGACAAAUAAGAAGAGUUAACUGAAUAAAAUAAAUGUUUGAGGAAAAUCUACCAAAUGAUGGUAGCAAAGGCAAUGUAUAUAAAAGAAUCAACUAGUCAAGGGAAAGGCCAUAACCAUCUGGUCUCACCUCCUUAUGUGGUUUGUAUUUGAAGAUAUCCACUACUGCAGAGUAACACUUUAAGAACUAGCUCAAAUCAGCUGAACUAUCAUGCACCCUACAAGCAGAGAAAAAGGGAAAGGGAGGAAGAGUUUCAGACUGCCCAUAAUCUAUUAAAUUUGUAAAUUGAAUGAGUUGAUGCUUUAAUGCACUUGGUAUAGUUCUAAAAAUAUAUCCACAAAUCAAAUAUAGAAAGAGUCAAAACUAAGCUUAUAUUGACGGUAGAUACUGAGCUUUCUCCGUAGCUAUAGCAGAGAAUUCCAUCCAAGUCCAAAUUCGCCAUUGUUUCUCCUCCGCUAAUAAACAGCAAAAGCCAUUUUAUUGCCCAAUAAAGAACCGCGGCUGCAAUUAUUAUCUUGAUAUCCUAGCAAAUAGAAGAAGUGGAAGCAAAGAUGGAGAAAUUGCAGCUUCAAUUUGAGACAAAACUAGAGCUGAUGUGUGAAGUGGGAGAGGAGAGCUAUUGGCAAACACUCUUAGAACUAGAAAGGUGAAAAGAGUAAAGGACGAAAGGCAGAACAAGUAGAAAUUUUUUAUCUAGCAAUGUGCAAAAUUUGACUCUUCACAUUCCUUAGAUUUUAUUCACCGUCUUGCUUUCAGAUCUUCAGAUUCUUUUUCUUUUUUCUAAUUGAGCGUUUUUUACUUUUUGUUUGGUUUAGCGUGGCUAGAGGUGAUCGUGGUAUGUGCCGAAUUUUUGUUGAGAAAGUGAGGUCGAGAGAUAAGUGAGUAUCAACCAAUUGAUUAACAAGUGGAGGUGGUGAGCGACAAACACUUAAGGUUAUGGAUUUUUGUUUUGGAAUUGAUUUGGGAAUUGGAAUUUGGGAAUAAGGGGAGGGGACGGGAGAUAGAGUGUAUAUAAAUUUGGGUCGGGUGAUCGCCUAUAAAACUGUUAUCGUUUUUAAUUAAAUAUCACACCAAAAAUAAAAAAUUUAAGAACAGCGGUGUCCGCAAGUGCACUGGUCAAAUUGUAAUAUAGUUUAGUACAAUGAAAUAUUUUGGAAAUGUUCUAAAGAUCGUACCCAAGGGAGGAUGGAAUACAUAUGAAAGCGCUUUUACAAUAACAAGUCUAAGUAGUACUAAUUAUUUCCUAUAUUACGAUGAAUCGUAAAAUAGAUUAAGGGAGUAAAAAUAAAUAAAUAACGAAAAGAAAUAAAUAAAGAAAACUAAACAAACAAAAUAAAUCAAUAAACCAAUCAGGAAGAUUAAUUCGCUUUAGAGUUUCCAAUCAACUUCGAAUUAGGGUUUUAGGGUGGAUUAACCAUCGAUUAACCAAUUAUUACCUCCUGGAAUCUAAUUAACUAAUCAAUUGGUUGAUACUCACUUAUCUCUCGACCUCACUUUCUCAACUAGGAUAAAUUACGAUUUAUUCAGUUCGACUUAUCUCCCAACCUCGUAUUGCCUAUGAUAACUUCCUAGAGUUGUCAACCCCAGUGGUUUAAGCACACGUAAUUCAUAUCAACUAAUCCUUCUUGGGAAACCCUAAAUCCUCCAUUAACCACAUCUUUAUCUACUUGUUAAUUUCCCUUAAGGGAUUUAACUACUCAUGUUAUCCAUAAUCUCUCUCUUAAUUGAAUAAAUCAUGUGAAUAAAAGAGAUUUGAAUUAUCGUGGAUGUAAUGUCAAAUGAGGACAGAGUAGUAAAUCUCUUGAUUGGAAUAAAUAAAUAAACUGAUGCAAGAACAAGUAAAUUGAAAUACUUCGAUAAUAUAAAUAAACUUUUAAACCAAAACUAAUUUCAAGAGGAAAACAAGAAAGUUAUAAAAAGCCGAAAACAAAAUAAUCUAAAUCUACUUCUAAACUACUAGGGUUUUUGAAUAAGUCUAAGAUGACUUGGUUACAUCAAACCUCUGAUAUCUUAUUUAUAGAGGUGUAUGACAACCCAAAUUAGGUCUCCAGCACGUCCUAGGUCUUCGUAUAAGUUUGAUUAUGCGAAAAUAUCACCACAUUUCUCACCCAAUUUGGUACCAACCUAAACACAACAAUCUACACAUCAACAAGCCAUAACAAGGCAUUCAAAACAAGCCAAAAUCAAGUCUUAAACAUGAAAUAUCACCACAUACAACCAAUAUGCCUUUAAGCAUCUCAAUUGACAACUUAAAGACAUUCCAACAAGUAUCUCAAUUUACAUAGAUGACCAAAUUCAUAUAUGCAUAUUCAAACCACAUUUUACUUUAUUUCAUUCUACCAUAUCACUCACACAUCAAACAUGAUAAAGUCACUUAUGUAUAUAUAUGCAUCAAAAUAGACCAAAUACAAGUCAUUCAAGUGGCUAGUCUCAACAAAACAAUUAUAUGCCAACAUUGGCCAAAUUAACCUAUACAUGCCAUUAUAACCGGAAUUAAUUUAUUGAAAGUACCAAAAGGACGAUGGAUAGUGUGAAAUAACUUCGACCAGCUUCCAACCGUACAAGCUUUCGAUUUACUAUAAAACAUGAAAAAUAACACAGAGUAAGCAUUUAAGCUUAGUAAGUUUGUAUAAUACAGAAUUUAACUUAUCAUAUUUCUAUAAAAUAGGUAAGUAAACAUAGCAAAUCUCAAUCAAUUUGGCCAAAAGCCUAAACUGUAACAUCCCGAUUUUGGGCUUAGUCGGAACAGUGGUUUCAAACCACAAAUUCGAUGAGGAAAAAUUUAUUUUUCUUAUAUUUUUAUGGUCUACGAUUUCACGGAAUGAUUUUUUGAAAAUUUUGUUUGAAAAUUUUGACAUUUGGGCACUCAAUUUAGCCAAAAGGACUAAAUUAUAAAAAGUGCAAAAGUUGAGUUCUACAUGUUAGAGGUGUCCAAUUGUUAUGAAACUUUAAAUUGGAGGUCCUUAUAUGGUAAUUAGACUGUUGGUUAAGUUGGUAGACAAAAAUGGACAUGAGAUAAGUGAAAUAGGAAAUUUUUAAGUUAGAGACAAUUUGCUAAUUUAGUAAUAAAAAGAAUUAAAAAGGGAAAAAGAUGGCAAAAUGUGCUCAUCUUCUCCAUGGUGAACGAAAAUAGCAAGGGGGAAGCCAUAGUUAGGGUUUUCAAGCUUCCAAGCUCCAUAGUAAGUGAUUUCAAGCCUCGUUUUUAAUGUUCUUUAUGUUUUUAGUCCCGGUAACUUGAUUUAGCUUAUUCUAGCAAUAAUUUAACCUAGGGUUUAUAUUUGGAAAAAUACCCAUAGGUGAAAUGUGUUUAUUUUGAUGUUUUAUGGUAGAAUAUGAAGCUUGAAAUUAUGUUAAACGAUUUUUGCUAGUCAAUUUUAAGUGAAAACGAGUAUAUUGACAUAAUCGGUAAAAAUACCUAAUGUUCAUAAGUACAUGCUAGAGUGGGAAUUUGAUGUUGUCAUAGAAGGAAAAAAAUGUUCAGCAUGUUAUAAAACAUAAGAAUAAAAGAUGAAGUUUAAUUUUCGAGCUUUGGGACAAAAGUGUAAUUAUGUAAAAGUUUAGGGGCAAAAUCAUAAUUUUUCCAAAGUUAGAGUUGAGGGCUGUUUUGGUAAAUGUGAGUAUUAAAUAAACUAAAUUUUCUAUUAUAGAUCAAGAAGAACAGAAUCCGAGGUUAGACAAAGGAAAGAAUAAGGUUGAAGACUAAGUGGGUGGAUUUGGCUAUAUUUUGUACCGAGGUAAGUUUACGGUAAAUAAAUGUAAUAUUUCAAUAAUUAUUAUUAAUGCUGUUAUUUUCCAGCAAUUAUAUAUUUAUUUCAUGAAUUUAUUUAAUGUUGACUCAAGUAUGAUACGAUAGAGAAUUAGUAUUAAAAAGUCCCGUUGAAACUUUUGGAAUGUAUUGGAUACAAAUGUCAUGACAUUUGGGUGAUGAGAUCCCAUGUAAGACCAUGUUUGGAACAUGACAUUAGCAUCAUUGAGAUUAUGAGAGGUAUCAUGUAAGACCAUGGCGUUGGCACCGAGAUGAGAGGUCCCCCGUAAGACCAUGUCUGAGACAUGGCAUUGGCACCAAUAUGAGAACUCCCAUGUAAGACUAUAUCUGGGAUAUGACAUUGGCAGUACAAGAAACAUCCCAUGUAAGACCAUGUCUGGGACAUGGCUUUGGCAUGUUAUUAUCAGAUAUGAGACCCAAGUAUCCUUAUUAUUCCAAUGUGGCUCAACGGGCUAGAAAACAUAUUAUGUUCUAUGGAAGUUCAAGUAAAAGUAUAAUUAGCAACUUCAGGUGAGUUAUAAGAGUUAAGAAUAUGUUAUGAUAUCAGUGAGAACCAAUAUUUCAGCAAGAGAAGAGUAAACUUACUAAGCUUUAUGCUUACUUCUUUUAUUUCUUUUUCUUUUAUAUAGUAUUAUCAAGCAUAGUCAGGAUCUUGAAGACGUCAGAGAGCGUUCACACUAUCAACCACCACAACUCGGUAUUUUAAGGUGAUAAAUGUUUCGAGCUAUGGCAUGUAUAGAGACUUAGUCAUUUCGAUUGUAUAUUCUUAAAUUAUGACCAAAAUAUGAUAUGUAAAUAUUUGAUAAUGAAUAGUUAUUAAAAUGGCUAAGUAUGAAGGUAUUUGUUGUUAUAAAAGUCUAGGUGAUAAAUUAUGCAUAGAAAUCAUGAAAAAGUAAAAAUUUGCAAUGAAACAGAUUUCAGACAGCAGUAGUAACGUGACUUUGAAAAAUCACCAAGGAUAGUAUAAAAUGAAUUAGAGAGUGAAUGAUAUAUAGAAUUAAAUCUUAUAGAGCCUAUUUUCAUAGAAAAAUAACGGUGUGGGUAAAGGAAUUCUAUAUUCUGAGAUAUCUGAAUUUUGGUUAGACAGGGUCAGAAUGGUUUUUGGAGUCCCCUGUUCUAACUUUAGAAAAUCAUUAAAAAUUGUACAAAAAUAGUUAUGAGUUGUAAUUUAUAUUUCUAGAUUCCUUAAUGAGUCUAUUUUCUGUAUAAAUAAGUGAGAACACCAUAUUAAAAUCAUAAAAUGAGAAAAUUUAAUGUUAGUGACGAGAGGUCAGGACAGUCGAACAAUGAAACAGGGGAAACUUUAACUAAUAAAAUGUACUAACUGGCUAAAUAAAAAAUUCUGAAAAAUUUAUGGUAAGAAUAUAUAUGAGUUUAGUUUUAGGGAAAAUUUACGGAUCUAAAUUUUGAGUUUCGUAGCUCGAGUUAUAAUUAAUUUAGUAACUGCUAUGCGAUUGGACAGCUUUGUUGUAAAUAGUGAAAUUAAUUUUAAAAGCAAAUUUUUAUGCCUCAAACUAGUAAGUUAAGUCAAGUAACGCCUCGUGCUCGACUUCGGAAACUGUCUCAGGUAAGGGGUGUUACAUGAACACAUAAUCACCAACAUAUUAGCCAUGAAAAUCACAUAUAAAAUCCAACACUCAUGGUUGAAUUCAUCAAAUAAUCAUAUUUCAUGUAUAUACUGGUAGUAGUUCAAAUCAAACUCAUAUGAUUUCAUAACAGAAUUGUGCCCGUUGAACCAUUUAGAAUAUCCUCAGAUACACGGGUAGUACACACGAAGUGUACUAAACUGUAAUAUGUCAAUUCAUGUACAUGUAUGCUCAUACGAGCUGUAAACGAGAAGCUCAUGCGAGCUGUGGUGUGUCUGCAACACAUGCAGGACCUAACCAAAUUGGUAACCCUAAUAACAUGUCAUUUGUGUCCUAUGAAUUUCUAAGGUUCAAACGAGACUCGGUAAUCGUCGGAUAUAUGAUCGGUAUUUAUACAUGGCAAUUAUAUAAAUCACAUACAUAUGAUCUAAUUAAAACAUACAAAUACUCAAUUUAAUUACACGAACUUAUCUCAACGAGUUUACGUAGAUAUGAAGGAGGCUAAUCCGAUAUUUUUCCUUUACCUCGAUCUAACUCCGUACUAGGUCUAACUGAAUCUAAUUGAGCAAAAUAAGCUUGCUAAUAUUUCAAGCUUCUAUAGCUAGUUUUUUUUUAUUUUAUUUUGGUGGUAGAUGAUAAUAGUUUAUUUUAUUUUAUUUAUUUUAACUUAAAUCACUAAUUUCCAAAAUCACCCUUAAUAAUUCAUUAAAUUUCCAAAGAUGACUAUUCAUACUUAUCCACUAAGCAUUUUAAUGGUCUAUUUAUAAUAUAAGGACCUCCAAUUUAAAAUUCUAUAGCGAUUUAAUACUUUUAGCUAUUAGAACUCAACUUUUGCACUUAAUGUAACUUAGUCAUUUUCAUCAAAUUAGGUAUGCAAACGGUAAAAUUUCUUAACAAAAUUUUUAUAUGAUAUUUAUAUCAUACUGUAGACCAUAAAAUAAUAUUAAACUAAAUUUUCUGACUUCAGACUUGUAGUCCCGAAACUACUAUUCUGAUUUCACUGAAAAUAGGUGGUUACAUUUACCCCAUUAUUGUAAUUAAAAAAAAUUAACCAUGAAAAAGUACAUGUGAAUUAUGGCUUUAACUUAUUUCCAAAAAUGAAGCCAUUAAAACAUUGUUGGGUUUUCCCUUGUAGCCUCCAAUUUGUAAGCAAAUUCUUGGAUCAGCUAUUACGGAGGCCCAAACUUGAUUGUGCAGCAAAGAGCUUAUAGUCCAAAAUAUUAGUCUAGCUUUUGGAGGUUCUCCAAGUAUAAACAAAUUUCGAGGUAAAAUUGCAUUCUAAGAAAUGGGUAUACUAUAUUUGAUCAUACUUGCUUUCUCAUAAAUAAAUAUUUGUUUGUUUGGUCAUAAUCUCAUGAUAGAGAUGGUUAAAAGGCAUGAAACUUGUUUACACUUUUUGGUGUACUUAAAAUUUGCAGAUUUCGCUGUAUCUGGUGUUGGAGAACUUGGUUGUAGGGUGAGGUAGAAUUGAUGUUGAUGAUAAUAGAAUCUAGAUGAUCUGCAUCCGAAUCGAGUGUUCGUAUUGUCCUUUCACAGUUUCUUAGAUUUCACAGUCUUGUCAACAUUACAAUUUUCCUAUGUUUCAUUCAGUUUAUAAUUAAUAUAUGCGCUGUAAUUUUCAUAUUUUUAGCUUAUAAAUCUCCUUUUUCAGCUUUCACAUACUGUAAGGAUGCUUAAGCUUUAAGUAAUUAAACUAAGUUUAUAGGAAUCUCUACACAUAUUUAGAUGCAGUUAUAUUCAUGUCUUCCUUUUUCCAUCCCCUUAUUUGUUUUUGAAAGAAAAUGGAUAAUUUUUUAAAAUUAUUAAUUUCACAAAAAUUAUAAGUAUUUUUAUAAUUAGUAAAUUUAAAUAUAUUUAAAUAUCCAAAAUAUUUAUUUAUAAUUUUAAAAUCUAAAUUCGAAUAUCCAUAUCCGCUUCAUCAACCCAAAUCAAGAAUUAUGCACUUCACAAAAUAAUAACCAAAAGCCGAAAGUCAAGAACCCCACCAGCGCAAGUCCCACUCCCACUACACCACUACUCUCCUCUCGCAAGAAAAAGUAGAGUUCUUUGGUUCAUCUUUUGGCCAAUUCUUUAACCUCAAACUCUUGUAUUUUUAUUUUCCCUUCAAUAAUGGGUUGUCUUCAUCUCUCUUCCACCUUCCUUUCUUUCUUGUUCUUGAUUUCUCUCCUUUCAGGUAAACUAUAAACGUAUGAACUCCCAUCAAAGACUCCAUGUUUCCUUGCCAACAGCUUUUCCUUUUCCUUGUUAGUUUGUAAUUUCUGCUGCUGACCCUGUCCUUGUUUUCAAUUGCAGAAGUGAAUCCAGCUUCUUUCAAGAUCGUCAACAGAUGCCGCCACACGAUAUGGCCUGGCUUUCUAUCCGGCGCCAACACACCUCAGCUUCCUACUACUGGCUUCGUCCUUAACCCUGGCAAAUCAAGAACCGUAACGAUACCCAGGUCUUGGUCCGGUCGACUCUGGGGUCGAGCCCUUUGCGGCCAAGAUUCCUCCGGUAAAUUCGUUUGCCUUAGCGGCGACUGUGGCUCCGGUCAAAUCGAAUGUUCCGGGAGUGGCGCCAAGCCGCCAGCCACUCUCGCGGAAUUCACUUUAAACGGUGACGGAGGAUUGGAUUUUUACGACGUGAGCUUAGUCGACGGAUACAAUUUGCCGAUGUUGGUCGUGGCCAAGGGAGGAAAAGGCGGGAACUGUUGCGCCACGGGUUGCUUAUUGGACCUCAACGGCGCGUGUCCUCCUCAGUUACGUGGUGAUGGGGGCGUGGGGUGUAGGAGCGCGUGUGAAGCUUUCGGAGAUCCCCAAUACUGUUGCAGCGGUGCGUUCGGAACGCCUGACGUAUGUCACCCUUCGGUAUUCUCUUUGUUCUUCAAGCAUGCUUGCCCACGCGCGUAUAGUUACGCGUAUGAUGAUGUUACGAGUACGUACACGUGUGCAGGAGCUGAUUACGUCAUCAUAUUUUGCCCACCUCCUUAUUCCAGGUGAAGUUUACUAACGACCUCUCUUCCAAUGUUAUUAUUAAUGUUUGGGAAAGGAAAUUUCCUGACUUUGGUUAUUAUAGGGUGCUUUUUGCCAUUUCAUCAGCAUGAUUUGGCAGCAAGCCGCGCUGCCAUGUUCCUGAAAAUUAGAGCAGGGGAAUUAUGUAAAUUUUGGUUGAACUGUAUGUGUGGGUUCAUUGUGAUUGAACAUGCUUUAACUUGGGACAGUUGCAAUCCUUCUAGUUAUGAAAUUGGAUGUCUUAGAAAUACUUGAAUAGAAAUUGUAUGUCCUGCAAUUUCAAGAGAAGCGUACACAUUCUCUUGUUUCUUAGUAGUUAAUAAAAAUAUCCAUGAAACACUAGGUUUUCAUUUGGAUUUUGUGAAUAAUUUUCAGCCAAAAAGUAUUUGGCGCUCGGAAAGACGGAGCACUGCUACCGCUUGUGAAUAAGAGUACGAUAUACCUAUCACGCAUACAUGCGAGUAGAGCUGCAUUAUCAGGUCUGCCCCAAUCGCAAUUUACUGCCAGUGCAGCCCCUUCUGCUUUGACUCUUUUACUCUUUUGGCAACUUAUUUUACCCUUGUGACUAACAUCGGCCUGGACACCUUCCAGGCAAGUAGUAGCAAGAUAUAGCUGAAGAGAGUCGUAGCUGCACCACUUCUCUGCCUCAUCUGUUGUUAUUGCUGGAUCUUUUUUUUUUUUAAAAGCUGGCAACUUGUAAAUGCAGAUUGCUUACAGCUAUUGGGGUUUCUCGUUUGCCACAAGAAGUAUUCUGUAUCUCCCCUGCACUCAAAGGUUUUAAUUUUUACUGUCAAUCUAAUACUUGUAAGUUUAGCAAGGCUUUAAAUUUCAAGUAUGUACAGCUUGAAUGCUCAAAUAAGCUCAAGGCUUUUGUGUUUCACAGUAUACAUACGAACCACAGUCACUUCCAGAGAAUGUUCUAACAAUGAGCUUGAAAACACUUAAAUGUUCUAAAAAUGCUCAAAUAAGGAUUGUUCUAAAAGUGCAAGAGAUCCUUCAAGCUAUCAACAGUGUGAGGGAAAAAAAAAACAGUUGUUAGAUUAAGCUGAAAACUUUCUUUUGCAAUGAAAUCUAAUUUGCUUUCGUUGGACUUCUGUUUUUAUACUUUAGGCUUAAGUGGAUGUUUGGCACUUCCUUAUACAUCAGUGCCUAAUGAUUUUUUUACCAGAACUUUAUCACAUGAAAAUUAUAAAAAUUUCAAAAUUGUUAAUGUUUUUUUUUAAUUAUUAAAAAAUUAAAUAUAAAAUAAAUUAUAUAUUUUAAAAAUUCUAUCACAUUGAACAUAGAGGUUCGUUUAAUAAUAACAUACAAUAAAUAAUGAAACGUUUAAUUUAAAACUAAUUAAUUAUAACACAUGAAAUAUGUACAAUAUUAAAAUUUUUUAAAAAUAAAUUAACUUGCGAUGCUAACUCAAUCAAUAACAUUAUUAGUACUAGAAAUUUUAUCACACACUUAUGGGUGCAGAAACCACAAAUAUAUAACACAAAUAAGAGUUCAAAAAUAACACACAAUAAAUAAUGAAACGUAUGGUUUGAAAGUAAUUAAUUAUAACACAUAAGAUAUGUACGAUGUUAAAUUUUUAAAAAAAAUAGAUUAAAUUAUUUAUCAUUGUGUUGUCUUCAAUUUACUCGGUGUUGAGUUAUGAUAGGAGUAAUAAAGUGUGCAUAAUAAAAUUGAAAUGUAUAAAAAAUAUUAAAAUAAAACUUUAGUUGAGUGGCAAAUUAAAUGUUUUACUAAUGUAAUUGGUUCAAGUUCAAAUUCCACAAUAUGUAUAGUUUUAUUGAAUUUUUUAAAAUAAAAAGAUUAAAAUAUCCCGGAAUAAUAUAACUUAUUUUAAUUAUAAAAGGGUGUAUCCAUAAUUUAUCUAAUCGAGUUGGUGACAGGUCGAGGGUGACGCCAACUCAUUCAGGAGCUUAAAUAAUAGUAUAUAUGCAAUUGAUAGAUGUAAUAAAAUGUACAUAAUAAAUUAAAAUGUAUAAAAGAUAUUAAAAUGAAUUUUUGGUUAAGUGCUUAAUUUAAGGUUUUAUUAUGGCAAUUGACAUGACUUUAAAUCCUAUUCUAUACAUAAUUUUUAAUAAAAAUAUUAAAGUAUCCUCGAAUAAUAAUUUAUUUUAAAUAAAAAGAAAACAUUAAAAUAAUUUUUUUAACCGAGUUGAUGUUUAGUAACAUGAAUCAUAAUAAAGUAUUCUUAUAAAUCAACCUUGUAAGUUGAAAGAAAAUAAAUAUAUGAUUAAGGAAGGUAAUAUAAUACAAAGGUUGAUCUAUAACUGGGAUAAUUGAAAUGUAGAGUAAACCACUCAAAUGAUCAUAAGAGAACUCAUUAGUGAAUAACUUGUUAAAGAUUAAUCUUACCUCAACAAAAACUUCCAAUAUUAACUUAAGUUGAGCCUUUUAAGAUGUGAGAUUUGCUUAAAAUUUUAAAAUAGGUUAUAAUAAAUUUGGAUAGACAUAAUUAUGAGACUCAACAUUAAUAAAAGAAUACGAUAAGUUGAGUUUUAAGUAUUUAUUGAAUUUUUUUUUUUUAAGUUCAUAUGAUAGUGAUUUAAAAUACACAAAUUAUAAUAAAGAAGCUAUGGUUAACUGGGGAGCAUAAAUGUCGAAAUUGUAUUUAAAAUAUUAUAGAAUGAAUUGUGAUUAGUUAUUGACAUGUACAUAUUUUAAAGUCAUUCUUUGAUGAAAUUAUAAGCGAUAUGUAUUUCAAUUAGAUCUUUUCUAGCUUAAUUUCACUAAAAUUUUGAGAUUUUGGGGAUGAAAGAGGUGAAUGUUUUCAAAAAAAAUAAAUCAAAUCUUUGUUAAAAAGAAUUUGAGAAAUUGAAGUAAAAGAAAUCAUCAACUUGAUUUUCUUUUAAACUUUUCCUUUUAAAGCCUAAAUUGGCGAAGCCCAAGUUGGAAAUCUGCUCUGCCUUAGAAUAUUCCUUUAAACAACCCAAUUUAAGGCCUAAGCUCAACUUCCUAUUCUUUUUUUAUUUCAAGUUUUGGCAUGUAUUGUAUACUAAUAAUAAAGUUUGUGUUUGACAUCACUCGAAUUUAUUCUUAAAUACAUCUAAUAUAAACACUUUAAUUUUAUAAAUAUGAAGCAAAUCAAAUAAAAUCCGAAAAUUUAUCUCAAAAUUGAAGUUAAAACUAAAUACUAAAGUAAUAAAUAAAGUUUAAAGAGGAACAAAUGUAAACAAAGGUCGGAUCAAGAUGGAAGUCGUAGGAAAAAAAGAAAAGACCAUCCCCACGAGGUUGCCAUUGCUGGUGGUACUGUGGUACCUAAACAGUCAGCCUACCUGCUAGUUUGUCAAGUAAUGACUGGUUUCAUGUAGUCUAGUCCACUAAGCGGGGCCACCAUUCCUUUUUAAUAGUGGCUAUAAAUCACGCUCAUCUAGACAAGCAUAUCCCUCUUUGGUUUUAGGCAGAUUAUUAUUAUGUUGCACUACUUCCAUUAAGAAGAAGCCGCUCACAAACGUCCAAUCCUCCCCUCCCAAAUAGACAACCCCAGAUACACGUUUAAUUAGACUUUGAUUCACCUUGGAAAAAGGUGGUCCAUCGAUCCAACGCCUCUCAUGGGCCUAAUAAAAAUAGUUUAUGUUUCCCAUCGUGGAGACCCACCCACAUGAGGGUUAUCUCUCCUCCAUCCACGUCCCUAGGUAGCAAAAAUUUCUUUUUAGGUGUUAGCAUUUGGUCUGUUGAUAAGGUAAAUGUAUUGUUUUUUUUAGGGUUUGUAAAUAACAAACCUUUCAAUUUUGUUCUUUGAUAUCCAAACAAACGAAAUUAUGAUCAUUGAAUAGCUUUGUGCAUGAUGAAACUUAAGAGUCAUGAUCUUUAUUCCUAAAAGUGAAUGAUAUCAUUUCAACUAGUUCUUCAGCACCAUGUUUUUCUUGUUCUAGAAUCGAGAGAUUUCUAACACAUUCAGACUCAUAUCAAUAAUCAUCUUUUAUCUCUCAUAAAAACUAAAAGGAAUAUUGUCCAGGGGUUGUUACCCUAAUCACCUAAACAUUCUUUAGACAAGUUUGUGGAAGAACUCGAGCUUAGGGAUAUGAAAUCUUGGAAUGGUAGAUGUAUAAAUCUAUUAAUGAAUAAAGAAACAAGGUAAUGAUAUAUCAAGUUGCUUCAAUUAGCUGUGGGUUUAGAGGUACAUGUAUGGAUGUUCAUUUACAUCAAGAAAAACGCCUCUCUUUUUAUUAUUCUUUCACAUUCAUUCCUUUUGAUCUAUUUUUAACUUUGUCUUAAUUCUUUAUUUCACUGCAGGUUUUUCUUCUUCUUUGCUGUCACGCAAACAACCCUUUUGAGGAACAGGAAAUAGAGAGAUCGGAGGGAUUUAUGGGUGCGAGAUCCCAGAUGGGACCACCGUAUUUUACUACUGAGGUUAUGUUUCCAGCCAAUAAUCAUCAAAAUUUAUGAAGAUUUAGUGAAACUCAUAAUCAUACUUGAGAUUAAAAAAAAAAAGAGAGAAAAGUUGUCCAAUGGUUGUAUGAGUAACUCGAGUUCCAAAAACCAAUCACAUUUAAUUACUAAAUUAUAAAUGGAUAGUAAAAGACUUAAUUCACAUUAGUUUUCCUUUUGUUUUUUAAACAAUCUCUACCUGCCUUGAUUGAUGUUACUCGUAAUUAUUCAAAUGUAUUGAUUGUAAUUGUCAUUUCAUUUGCGUAUUGUAUAGAUUUAUUUUUUUAUAGAAUAUCUAAAAUUAUCCAUAAUUUUUUUUCACCACUUUAAUAAGAGAAUAAAUGUACUUCAAUGCAUUCGAACUCAUAUUUUUUUGUAUUGGUAAUAAUGUCGAUAUCAAUUAAGCUAAAACUCAAUCGAAGAAUAUAUUAUUUAAAAUUAUCAUCAUAACUGAUUACAUAAACAAACUUUUACACCCCACUGAAUUGUUUUAUACAUUAUGCUUAAUUGGCAAAUUACACACUUUGUUAGAGUUAGGAAGAUGUGGGAUUGAACACGCUUAAUCAUGUUUUUUUUUUAAUUGAAAAAAUUAUGGGUAAAAAUAAAAAAGUGAAAAAUAAUUACAUUAGAAUAGCUUAACUUUUUAUUAGAUGAUUGAAAAAAAAUUGAUUGAAGUGAAGGGAUAUUCGAGAAACUAAGUAAACUAUUCUAUUAAAUUAAAUUUAUCAAAAUCUCUUAGUUAGCUGAAGAAUAAUCUUUAUAAAUACUUAAAUGGAAACUUGGAAGUUGUAUAAUGAAGAGAGUUUAUUUUGUGAUUCACACUUGGUAAUGUUAAAAACUACUUGUUAGUAGCUUUGAUAUUUCUCUUUGAGGUGCUUUGAAAGGGUUUUUAUAGAGGAGAUUAUUUGAUGUAGAUCCUAGUUAAUGAGUUUUUUAUUGUCUAAGAUUAGUGAUAGGGUCGUGAGUAAAUUUGAUAGGAGGUAAUUGAGUGUAAUGUAAAGGGGCAUUAAAUAGUCGCGUAGUCCAAAUAAAUUUUUUGGGGGCCGAAAUAUAAAUUCACUAUUUUAAUAGAAUAUAUCUUUAUAAUUUUUAAAGGAUUAAAUCGAAUUUUUAUUAUUUAGGAGGAAAAGUGUAAUUUAAAAUUUUACGGGUAGCCCUGCCUGCCCCUUGGCUCUGCCACUAACCUUAAGCAACUUCAAUCAAUCUAGGGAAGUUAAUUACUAAUACUUUUGGAAGUAUUUGGAGUUAACAUGAUUAUGUAUUGGAUAGAAUUGUUUGGGAUUUUAUAAUCAUCACACAGUUUUUAAGUUAGAUGAUAUUUCUUUUUAAAUAUAACAACAUAAUAAUUAUAUUUAUUUUAGCUAAAAUUGAUAAUUAUAUUAAAAAAAUUUCGGUUAUAAUAUCCAAAUUUAAAAAAAAUAUAUAAUCCUUUAUUAGGAAGGUAAAUAUUUAAAAUAAAAUAUAACCUCCCGGGUCCCCAAUCCACAGAAAAAGAAAAGAAAACAAGGAUAAAUAGGUAUUCCAGACAAGGAAUGUUUACUAUACAGAGCACGCUGAUUUGUAAAUAUUAAUGAACUUUAAUGGCAUUUCCAAACUUAUUUCUUUAUAUAAACCCCAUUACCGCUUUCUUUUCUUGCCACCUUCAGUUUCAAAGUUUCAGCUACCAAAGCAAAUUCAGCUCACUCAAGCAACAACCAACAACAAUGGCAAUGGCUUUCAAGAUGGUACAUCCCAUUUAUUAUUUGUUUUUAUAUUAUUUUACAUAAAUUUUUUAUGUUAGUUACAUGUAUAUUUUGGGUGUAUGAUACUAUAGGCUACAACUGGGAUGUGGGUCACUGAUGAGUGCAAGAACUCAUUCAUGGAGAUGAAAUGGAAGAAAGUACAUAGAUAUAUAGUUUUCAAGAUCGAUGAGAAAUCAAGGCUGGUUACCGUCGAUAAGGUCGGCGGACCUGGCGAAAGCUAUGAUGAUCUUACUGCUUCAUUGCCCAUCGAUGAUUGCCGAUAUGCUGUCUUUGAUUUUGAUUUCGUCACCGUUGAUAACUGUCGGAAAAGCAAGCUCUUCUUCAUUGCAUGGUUCGUCGUCUUCCCUACUUGUUUAGUACCGUAUAUAAUACUGUUUAAUUUGAUUUACAUUUAAUUAAUGAUGGAGAUUAGGUCCCCAGCAGCAUCAAGAAUAAGGGCAAAAAUGCUGUACGCAACAUCCAAAGACGGGCUGAGGAGGGUGCUAGAUGGAAUUAGCUACGAAGUUCAAGCAACUGACCCAACUGAGAUGGGGAUUGAUGUGAUUAAACACAAGGCCAAUUAGGACUAAUCAUGAUUAAGUUUUAGAUUUAUAAACCAUCUUACUCUUUUAUUUAAUAACUCCAACAACAUGUGCUGUCUUUUUUUCUUCUUCUUUUUCUUUUCCCUGUUGUUGUGAUUUUUUUGGCUAGAUUUCUAGCACUAAUGUAAGUUAAUCUUAAUGUAAUAAUAUUUUGAUGUUCCAUGUGUGCUUGGUUGUGAGCAAAGCACUCAUCAGUUCCACCCUUCUUCUUAAAUCAUGAAAAGGUUAAAGUCACAUUGACUGCAAGAUUUGCCGAAAUACUUGAAAAUGAAAUUCCAUGACAUCAGCUUUUAUGAUGAGAGGUAAAGGAGGCAGUGCUUUGAUUAUGAUAAUGCUAUUCUAUCCAAAAGAGGGGAGAAAAAUAAAGGAGAAAAAAAGCUAAAAGUGAGAUGAGAAAAAUGAAUGAUUUUGGGUACCAAUACCAAAUUUGGUAGACCCCUAAUAGCCCAUGCCCAGCUCAUGACAUGACACCCAAACCAUUAGUGGAUUGGAUUGGUAACUGGUCCCUUACCAGAUCAUGGUUUCAAGUCUCCCUUACCACUCUCACUACCAAACCAUGGAAUUAACCAAGCCAUCCUAAAUCCUCCAAAAAGCAAAUCAUUUCUAGGACUUCAACCACGGUUAGGAUACCAUGCGAAAUCAUGCUUACCUUUUUGUUUUGCAAUCUAGCAGUUAAACCAUUGAUUUCUGAGAUUGAGAGGUAGCUGCACUGCCUACACAUUUCAUACGGUGAGUUUUGCGGCUAAACUACCCUUCAUUCAUUUCUCUCCUCGCAAGAAGCGGGUGAAAGAAAAAGUACGUAUAAAAUUAUAUUGAUAGUUUUUCUUUCUUUUCUUCUUAACUUUUACUUCCUCAACUUGUUUUAUUUUUCCACAUUAUGUUAACAAAGUUAUUGGAAUGUAAGAUUAUUUAAUACGUUUCUUUUAUUGGAAUGUAAGAUUAUUUAAUACGUUUCUUUUGUUUGGAACGUAAGAUUUUGUUGUUUAAUUAAUGAAAUGUAAAAUUUUAUAAAUUUUUUUUAUUAAAUUAUCUUUGUUUUAGAAUAUGCUUCUUCUUUUUUCUUAACAUGUAUAAGUAAAUAUGUUUGAAACAAUUUUGGAAUGUAAGAUUUUGUUGGUUAAUUAAUGGAAUGUAAUGCACAUUGCACUUCCAAGGAGAGAUAUAAGUUGGAAUCUUGGAGACAGUAUUGUUGAGAGGGACAACCACAAACCUCAACUAUGUUUUAUAAAAUAUCAUAAAUGAUAAAAAACAAUGUUGAAAUAAUUUUGAAAAUCAUUAGCAUCCAAAUUACUUCUUUCACCAACUAUGAAUUUUCAAAGUUGACAAUAAAAUGAACAAAAUAAUAUAUAUCUCUUGAGAUAUAUUUAAGAUUUAAGUUUUUUUUUUUAAAUUCUACUUAUGAAAUUAGAAAAAUAUAAUAAGUAUACAUAAACUUAAUUUUAAAAAAAUGAAACUAAACCUUCUAAAAAAAUGGAAUUUUAAGUUAAGUUUAAGUAAAAUUUAUGUAGUUGAAGUGGAUCUAAUAUAAAGACCUUUUAAAUACUAAAUACUAAAUACAUACUAAACAUGACUAGGAUUUUGGUUUUGUUGGUGAAAUAGAAAGAAUUUUUUUAAAAAAAGUAAAAAUAAAACUUGAUUUUCUUUGUGAAAUUGAUGAAAAUUAUAAAAAGGAGGAAAUUUUUACCAAAUUAUUUUAAAAAAUAAGAAGGAUAAAAUUUGCCUAAAUUAAUUAUUCCAAUUGAAAUCUAAGCUUAUCUAAGGAAAUUUUGGUAUUAAGAUUGUCCAUAUAUUUUGAAAUUUGAUACUGUUAAAAAUAUAAGAUUACCAUCUCAAGGUAAUCUUUGGAACCCAAACGUAAGAAUGUUAUUUUGAAAUCUUACAUUACCUUUGGAAUGUGAGAUUAAUUAAACCAAACACCCUUUUAGGUGACGUUUGAUUUAUAAAAUGUAAGAUUACUUCCAAUGAUAAGAUUACUAGAAUGUAGUAUUAUUUAGGGUGAGUUUGGUUCAUUGAAUGUAGUAUUACGCCUCGUAAUCUUACAUUCUAAAAUUAAGAUUGUAUUGUUUAUAUUCUCAACAUUCGGACCAUCCCAUAAUCUCACAUUCCCAACUAGUGCCAAGAUGUCGAAAUAUAGGGUGCAAUCUCAAUAUCACCUAUUCUUUAAGUUAUCUUAGAUUACUUGUGUCAUAUUAAAUUUUAGAUAAAACUACCCUUUAUUUUUAUUAUUUUAAUAAGUUUCAUCCCUUUUUUCUUAAGAAUUAAAUAGUAGAUGACACGCUUUAAGGGGUGUUUGAUUCAAGGGAUAUAAUAUUAUAUUUUAUAAUAGGAUUACAAGAAUGUAAGAUUACAUUUCAUAAUAGGACUACGAGAAUGCAAGAUUAUGGGAGGAAUGUCUAUAUGUUACAUUGCCUUGUUAGUUAAUUUGACUGAAAUGCAAGAUUUAGGUAUUUGGUUGACGAAAUGUAAGAUUACCUAAAAACAUAUUUUAUUAAAUUGUACUUUGUUAUAGUAUUUGUUUGUUUUAACAUGAUUAGUUCAUUUAAUAUUUCUUAGUCUUAAUCACCAUAAAACUAUGAUAAAGUAUGAUAAUUAUUGUUUUUACUACAAUUUAUAGAUUAAUAAGUAAAUAUAUGAUGUUAAAAUAAAUUAAUAAAUAAUAAUUAUAAAUCAUAAUUAAUAUUGAAAAAGGGUUGGCUUUUGCCGGCAGAAACAAGCCUAAAUAUAAAGUAAGUUGUUAUUAGACCAAAUGAAAAAAAAGAGAUAAAAACAAAGGUGGACACAAAAAACUUGAUUAAAUAGUUCAACAGCCCAAAUAUAAAGUAAGUUGUUAUUAGACCAAAUGAAAAAGAAAGAGAUAAAAACAAAGGUGGACACAAAAAACUUGAUUAAAUAGUUCAACUUCAUCCUAGGUUUGCAUGGCCUUACCCAAAGAGCUAAUACACUAUAAUUCUACAGUACAAACUAUGAUUUAAUUCAUGUACACUCACCAUAUGGCAACCUCAUAGUUAUACUUUAAUCCAGAUCACUCUCUACUUAGACUUUACCUUUAAAAUCUUAGUUUACUUGAGUUUACUUACAAAAAUGCACUUGAAAUACUAGUUCCCAUAUGUACAAUGAUAAGUGUUCUUUUAGUUUUUUUUUUACAUGAUAAGUGUUCUUUUAGUUUUUUUUUACAUAGUACAAACCGACCAUAUGUGUGAGAUGUUCCCAUUUUUAAAGAAUUAUGGUUUCUAGAUUAAAUCUUCAUAUGUAUGAGAUGUUCAUGAUUAAGAAAGACGAGGUAACAUGGGUUUUAUCACUUCAUAAGGAAGGGCAUAAGGGCGGAGGAUGGAUGUGUGUCAAGCUUCAUCAAUAAUUUACCUGAAGGUAUGCAUUGGAGGUGGUUAAAGUAAUUAUUUGGGUAUUAUGGGAAAAUGAUUGAUGCCUUUAUCCCUAAGAAAAGAAGUAUCAACGGUAAAAGGUUUGGUUUUGUAAGGUACGCCAAUAUGUAUGAUGCAAAUAGAGCUAUAAAUAGGAUAAACAAAUUUUGGCUAAUGAGGUCGCAUAUCGAUGUCAAUCUGUUAAGAUUUGAUGGAAUAGAUCAACCUUUUGAAGAAAAAAAAUAGUGGGCGAGAAAGAACAAGGUUUUGAUAGCUUGUGGAAUAAGGUUGUUAAUGUUGUGAAGAUAGAAGUAAGGAGGAGAUUUUGGAGGAUAACUUUGGUGAAGAUGCAAUUAUGGGUUUUGUUGAUAAUGAAAAGCUUCAUACAUUACAAAGAUGCAUGGUGGGCUGGUGCAAGUUGUUUAUCAAAAUAGAAGACUUGGCCAAUCAAAUAAAUGAAGCUGGCCUUGGGGGCUUUAUCAUUGUUAGGAUAUUUGGGUCGUGAUGCUCUUUAUGUUCGAAAGUGAGAAAAAAGAUGAAAGCAAUUCAACUGAAUCAAUGGUAGCUACUCAAGAAGUGGUUUGUAAAAAUGUAGAUUUGGUCCAAAUCUGUUAAGGUUGAGAAUUGUAGAACUUGGAUCUCAUGUAUUGGAUACAAAUUUAUGAUUGAAACUAUAAAAGCUUAUUUUUCAGUGGUGUCAAAAAUGGUGGUUUCAAGGCUACAAAUCUGACGAGUGAGUUCAUAAAUAUCAUUAUUUAAUAUUUAUGAGUCAAAUAUAAAAUUACGUUGAAAUUUGAUUUAAUGAUUUAUGUUAAAUGAAAGAAUAAUUAGGUUCAAGUGGUAUGUCCCUAAAGUCAAGUGGUUUUAGAAAAUAAUGUAUUGGGACAUCAUUUCUAUAAACAAAGAUUGUAAAUAUUUUAUUAAAUAUUUACAGAGUGUUAUUAGGGUCUGAUAGUACUAGAAAGAACAUAUGUUUUCUCCCUACUUAUUGGUUAAUUUGUACCCAUUUAGUUAUCUUUAGCAAAUAUUUUAGCAUUUUCAGUUGAGUAAAUUGCAUUUUAUAACUCAGUGGAUCUUAACCUAUUUAUCCUUAAUUUUGUCUUUUUGGUUCUGAUGUCGUUGUAUGAGUAUUUCUAGAUUGCGUCCAAAAUUGUUCUUGCACCUGGCAGCUGUCCGGAUAAGAACAAAAAGGUGUGAGGUGUCUAGUCUGGUACAACCAACUUGUACGUAUAGAGGUAGCAUGAUUCUAAUGAAAGGAUACAUGUGCUAUUUGGAUAAAUAUUAAUAUUCACGUGAAAAGGAGAAUGAGAUGUUUUUUUUUUGGUGGAGGGGUAAUAUCUUCUUCAACCUAUCUUUUGAAGCUUUUCAGCUAUGGUGGCUUAAGCCUCCUACGGGUGAACUAGCGUGAAAGGGGUGUAGAUUAGCUCUUGACGAGGAGCCCUGAGUGCGACACAAGAGGGAGUUGAGAGAUCAAGUCGAGAUUUUUAAGAAUAGUACUCUCCACUUGUUUCUUUUAUAUUUAUUUCUAAACGCUGGUGAUUACUUUCUAUUUCAUGUUUGUACGAAAGUAUAUAUGAUUUUUGGGUUAAAUGUUAUUUUAUUCAAUCUUGCUUCUACUGUUUAAUAUUUGGGUUUGAAUGUUUUUAGCAUGGAAGUGUUAUUGCGGUUACUGACACUGGAAAGUGCAGCGACAGUUCAAGCUAACAAGCAUGACAACAGAAUUUACUUGAGGAUUAGAGGAAUUUAAUCUGCUUGUUCUUAAUAGUGUUCCAUUGCCAUUAUCGGAAAGUGUGGCUAAUAUGCAUGUUUAAGUCUUAGAUUAAAUAUAAAAGUUAAGCUUGGUAAGAUAUUCAUUACAAUUUAAUGCAUCGACAAUCACCUAUCCUUUUAUACCUUGUGAGCACUUAGUAUUCUGUUGAAUAUUCACAUUGGGGAUCCCAGUUUACCAUUAUCAUAUUUUGUCUUAUUAUUUUCAAGUUAUUGCUUCAAAAAAUACUAUUACAAUUUAUCUCGUUUCUAUCUAUUUAUUGCACUGACAUUGAUAGACAAAAGACAACCAUCUUCGUGGGAUCGAUAUCCGACAGACUCAUAUCUGCCUACUAUACUUGCAUCGACAGUGUACGCUUGCACAUUAUUAUCGUGACGUUAAACAACCGAUCAAGUUUUGGUGCCAUUGUCGGGGAUGACGUUUGUUUUUAUUUCAUAAUAUUUAGUUGUUACUAACUUGUUUUCUUUUUGUCAUUAUUUUCACAUUUUAUUUUAGGUGUUGUAUGACCCGAAGAAAUUCAGAGUUUAUUUUCGAUUUUGAUCCAGAAUUUGAAAGAACCAUUCAGAGGAGACUUCGAGAGCAAAUGAAUAAGGCUUUACCAAGAAACUAUGAAGUCAUACGCCCGAUGCAGCAGUAAAAUGCUUAUGGCCCACUGUUGUCGCAAGACACUCAAAUAAAAAACAAGACUAUACGAGAUUUUGUAGUACCUAUCUUGGAUAACUUACAACUGAGAGUUGUUAGGCCAGCAAUCCAAGCUAGAAAUUUUGAACUCAAGCCAGUAAUGUUUCAAAUGUUGAAUUCUAAUGGGCAACAUCCUAGACUGCCACAUGAAGAUGCACGAGAACCUCUUAAAUUAUUUUUAUUAAUUUGUGCUUCUUUUAGUCAACAAGGCUUUCCUAAUGACGCUUUGAAGAUGCAAUUGUUUCCUUAUUCCUUACAGGGAAGAGCUCGUACUUGGUUCCUUGGGCUACCUGUAGAAUCAAUUACUUCUUAGAAUGCACUAGCAACACAGUUUGUUUUGCGAUUUAACCCGCCGACAAUGAAUGCUCAUCUCCAGAAUGAUAUUACAGCUUAUCAUCAGCUGGAUGAUGAAAAUCUUCACACCACAUGGGAAUGUUAUAAAUCUUUGCUUCAACGUUGUUCCAUGCACGACAUUCAACAAGAAACACAAAUUGAGAUUUUCUAUAAUGGGUUGAAUGCACACACGAGGAAUCUUGUCGACGCAUCAGCCAAUGGUCCUUUACUGGAUUGUACUUAUAAUGAUGCUAUUAGAAUUCUUGAGAGAAUUGCUUAGAAUGAUUAUCAAUAUCCUAUAUUUAGAGCUACACAAACAAAAACUACUCCAGGUGUUAUUGAAUUGGACGCAAUAUCUAUACUUAGUGCUUAAGUUUCUUCUCUUGUAAAUAUGAUAAAAAAAUAUGCAAGAGACUAGUGAAGUUGCACCUAGACGAGUCACUCAACAAGUUGAUGUUCCUACCUUUUAUUGUGAGAUUUGUAGUGACAACCACAAAUAUGAAGAUUGUCCAUAACAUGCAGAGAAUGCCUUUUAUGUCAGUAACAUCCGCAAUAAUUUUUAUGACACCUAUUAUAAUAAUUCUACAUGUAAUCAACAGUCUUGGCGAACUCAAAAUGCUGGACAAAAUACUGCGACAUUCUUAUAUGGGAAUAUAUCUACUCAAGGUAAUUAGAAUUUAAGACAAGGGAAUUACAAUUAACAACAACAGAACUACAAUCAGCAUACUCAAAUGCAUCCACACUAGAAUCAAACACAGCCACAACACUCUUCAGUGCCGAAUCAACAUGUUCAAGAACAUCGACGACAAUAGUACACGCAAGUUUAUCCUUCUGACCUAUUAGCAGCUCUUGAGCCUUUAAUGCGAGAGCAUAUGACUCGCACAGAAGUUAUUGUGUAAAGGAAUUCAUCUUCUAUUCGGGCGUUGGAGGCAUAAUUAGGACAACUUACUUUGAAUUUGAAUACUCGACCACCGGGCACACUACCUAGUGACAGGAAAAAUCCCGGUCCCAGGGGGAAAGAACACUGCAAGGCUAUCACUCUCAAGAGUGGUAAACCAACUAGUGAGUCGACUAUAAACUCUACUGUAGCACCUCAAGAUACCGGUGAAGUGAUCCCUAGUGAGAAGGUUGGAUCUAAAAAGCUUGUCGAUGUACCAGACAAAGAAGUUCCACAAACUAUCACUCAUAUACCUAAUGCCAACCCUCGAAACUAUCGAUGUAAUCAAAUGUGUAGGCACAAUCAAAUGUAUCUCCACAUUUACCUUUUCCAUAAAGAUUCAAGAAGAAUGAGCAGGAUAAUUAGUACCAAUAGUUCUUGAACACACUAAAGUAACUUCAGGUCAAUAUUUCUUUAGUAAACGCUAUUGUGCAAAUUCUGAAUUAUGAGAAAUUUAUGAAGGAGCUCUUGUCCAAGAAAAAGAAGCUCAGUGAUAUGGAAACUAUUGCACUCACAAAAGGUUGUAGUGCUGUUUUGACAAAUAAGUUGCCCCCAAAAUGAAAGAUCUUAGAAGCUUUACUAUCCCAUGUUCAAUUGGCAACCAUUAUUUGGGCAAGGCUUUAUGUGAAUUUGGAGCUAGUAUCAACCUAAUGCCACUAUUUACUUUCAGAAAGUUGGGAAUUGGUCACAUGGAACCUACUGCAGUGACAUUGCAAUUAGCUGAUCGAUCCUUGGCUCAACCUGAAGGGCAAAUCAAAGAUAUCUUAGUUCGUGUGGAUAAAUUUAUUUUUUCGGCUGAUUUUAUCAUACUUGACUGCGAGGCAGACAAAGAGGUUCCCAUAAUCUUGGGAUGACCAUUUUUAGCCACCAGACAAACUCUUGUUGAUGCUUACAAAGGUGAACUGACUAUGCGACUUAAUGAUGAGCACUUUACCUUCAGUGUUUUCGAAUCUAUUCAAUGCAAGGAUAAAUAAGAAUGAAUACUGUCGAUGUGCUAAAUGAUCUAAUUGAGGAAUAAUUUAAUGAUUAAAGCACAAUACUUUUUGAGGAGUUUGCAAUACAUCUAAUGAUGAAUUCUUAGAUAAUUGUGACACCAUGGUUGAAGCUAAUAAUAUUGAACUCAGACAUGGAUGGCAGAUUGAGUCCUUAGACUUAGCUAACAGAACAACUCUAAUUUUCAAGUCAUCUAUCGAUGAAGCUCCUACUCUAGAAUUGAAACCACUACCUACUCAUCUUCAAUAUAUCUUUCUUGCUGAUAACAAUACUCUCCCAGUUAUUGUCUCCGCAACACUGGAUGUAACUUAAAAAGAGAAAUUGGUCCAUAUUCUUAAGCAACAUAAACGAGCUAUUGCUUAGAGUAUUAUCGAUAUUCGAGGCAUUAAUCCAUCUUUUUUCAUGCACAAGAUCAAGUUAGAAGAUGAAGGCAAGCAAUCAAUUGAGCAACAAAGAAGACUAAACGAGAAGAUGAAUGAAGUUGUUAAGAAAGAAAUUAUAAAAUGGCUUGAUGUUGGAAUUAUUUACCCUAUUUCUGAUAGCAAUUGGGUAAUCCAGUGCAAUACGUUCCUAAAAAGAGUGGCAUUACUGUGGUUAGCAACGACAAAGACAAAUUAAUUUUUACAUGCAUUUCUAAGACAUGGCAAGUCUGUAUGGAUUAUCACAAACUUAAUGUUGCCACAAGGAAGGACCACUUCCCACUUUUUUUUAUUGACCAAAUGUUGGAUAUGCUUGCUGGAAGAGCCUAUUACUACUUCUUAGAUUGCUAUUUUGGAUACAAUCAAAUUGCUAUUGCACUGGAGGAUCAAGAGAAAACAAAUUUCAUCUGUCCCUUUGGUACUUUUGUUUUUCGCCGUAUGCCUUUCGGUCUUUGCAACCCACCAGCCACAUUUCAAAAGUGCAUGAUGACAAUACUCUCAGAUAAAAUUGAAGAUUCUUUAGAGGUUUUUAUGGAUGAUUUCUCAGUUUAUGGAAACAAUUUUGAUUAUUGCGCUAAAAAUUUUGAUAAAGUAUUACAGCGAUGUGAAGACACACAUUUUGUUCUAAACUGGGAAAAAUGAUAUUCCAUGGCAACUAAAGACAUUGUGUUAGGCCAUCGCAUCUCUAGUCAAGGCAUUGAAGUAGACAAAGCUAAAGUGGAAAUCAUUGAGAAAUUAUAUUCAUCGACAAAUGUGAAAGGUAUUCACAGUUUUCUUGAGCAUGCAGGGUUUUACCGAAUAUUUAUUAGAGAUUUCUCAAAAAUUGCAAAACCCUUAUGCUCAUUACUGGAACAGAAUCGAAAAUUUCUCUUUGAUGAUGCAUGUUUGGAUGCAUUCAUUCAAUUAAAAACCUAACUAGUAAAUGUACCCAUUAUCGUUGCACUAGAUUGGUCUCAACCUUUUGAAGUUAUGUGCAAUGCAAGUGACUUUGCUGUGGGUGUUAUUCUAGGACAACACAAGAGAAAAAUAUUUCACGUCAUCUAUUAUGCUAGCAAAAUUCUUAUAGAGGUUCAAAUCAAUUAUACCACUACAGAGAAAGAAUUGUUGGUUGUGGUCUUUGCUUUCGACAAGUUUCGUUCUUAUCUUAUCGACGCAAAGGUUACUGUAUUUACUGAUCACUCAGCGUUGAGAUAUCUUUUUGCGAAGAAGGAUGCAAAACCAAGAUUGAUACGUUGGAUCUUACUAUUGCAAGAAUUUGACAUUGAGAUAAAAGACCGCAAUAGUUCAAAGAAUCAAGUUGCAGACCCUGUCUCAGUUGGAAGUUGGCAGCGGAGAUGGAAACAUACUUCAAAUUGGUGACCCAUUCCGAAAUGAGAAGUUAUUUGCUGUAGAUACAACCCCUUGGUAUGCAGAGUUGGUUAAUUAUCUAGUGUGUGGAAAACUCCCAUUGGGUGUCACAGACCAUAAAAAAGAAAGAUUUCUUCGUGAAGUAGUGAAGUAUCAUUGGAACGAGCCGUAUUUAUUCAAGGUAUGCAAUGACAACAUUAUUCGGCGUUGUGUUCAGGAAGAUUAGAUGCUUUCAAUCCUGAAGCACUGUUAUGAUGCUCCUUAUGGAGGUCAUUUUUGUGGCAUGUAAACUGCUGCUAAGGUUCUCCAAUCAGGAUUCUACUGGCCUUAAUUAUUCAAAGACGCCCACAAUUUUGUGAAUUAAUGUGAUAGGUGUCAGUGCACUGUUCUAUAUUCCGAUGCAAUGAAAUGUUGCAGCAGCCAAUUAUGGAGGUUUAAUUGUUCGAUGUUUAGGGUAUGGAUUUUAUGGGACCAUUUCCAAGUUCAUUUGGAAGUCUUUAUAUAUUAGUAGCUAUUGACUACGUCUCGAAAUGGGUUGAAGCCGUUGCAGUCCCAAUGGAUGAUGUAAAGACAAUACUUAAAUUUUUUCACAAGCAUAUACUCACCCGCUUUGGCACACCAAAGGCAUUGAUUAGUGAUCAGGGUACACACUUUCAUUGCAACCAAGUGGCAGCUGUACUGAAGAGAUAUGGAUUAAAUCAUAGAAUGGCUGCGACUUAUCAUCCGCAAACUAAUAAACAAGCUGAAGUAUCGAAUCGACAAAUUAAGAACAUUAUUGAGAAUGUUGUGAACCCUUUGAGGAAAGAUUGGUCUUCAAGACUAGAUGACACUUUAUGGGCAUUGCGGAUAACAUACAAAAUUCCAUUAGGGAUGUCACCGUAUCAAUUGGUUUCUAGGAAAGCAUGUCACUUGCCAGUUGAACUGGAGCACAAAGCAAUGUGGGCAAUUAAGAAAGUGAACAUGGACUAUGAAGCUACUGGAGAGAAAAUGCAAUUGGAUAUCACUAAACUAGAGAAGAUUAGGUGAAAUGCCUAUGAAAACACUGCAAUUUACAAGGAAAAGACCAAACGAUAGCGUGGCAGAAUUAUUUUAUAACGAUAAUUUAUCGCGGGUCAACAAGUUUAUUAUUCAAUUCUAGAUUGAAACUGCACCUAGGUGAAUUACGUUCUCAUUAGUCUAGAACUUUCGAAGUAUUUUCUCAUAGUGUGGUCACAAUUAGAGAUUUACAUGAUGGACACCAGUUCAAAGUGAAUGGCCAGUGAUUGAAACAUUAUUUUGGGAAUAUUGAUCAAAAGCAGGCAGAGACCAUUAAGUUGGUCGAAAAAUUUUAAUUUUUAUGAAAUUUAUUAUUAUGAAAUUUUAUUUUAUUUUUGUUUCUGUUCAAGUUUGUUUUACUUUUUUUUUUUAAUUUUUGCAGAAUAAUUAGGUACCAUUGUCGACACACUUGGAAUUUAUUGUCAAUGCAAUUCGUACUAUUGUACUGUCACGUAUGAUUCACCACGAAUGACGGGCAGAUCAGAAUUUUCAGAUCCCACAGUUUGACCAAAAGUGACCUAGUCAUUUGAUUUGUCUGAACGGGUGCAAUUCCCAUUGAACACAUUUAUUCUCACCAGCUUUAUAUCUCUUCACACAAAAAAAUCACUCAUUUCUAUCUUUUUCUUUCACUCGCUAUAAACCCCCUUUCACUGUGUCGAUUGUAACAUAUACAAAGUAGCCAUUUUUAUUCACUUUUUUUCCCCUGGCUCGUACCUCUACAAAUUUAAACCAUCUUCACUCCACAAAAUAAACAAAAUAUGGAAAGAACGAGAGGAUUAGUCAAGAAAGCCACCAAGCCUGUUGAAGAACACUUAUUCUCUGCAACUGCAAUUCAUGAAUUGAAAUCCUUCAUGUCAAUUAAGAAAAAAGAGCAGGUGACCUUUUUAACGAAAGUGGCCAAGGACUGGUUUCAAGACAACAUUUUGAAGCAAAACUUUUACCCAGGAUAGGGCAUUCUCCUUUCGUAACAGUAAGACUUGGGCAAGUAAGUCUACAAAGCCAUCUCUAAGCUAAGUGGGAGGCUUUCUGCACUUAUCCUGGAAGCUAUUCUCUUUCAUUGGUACGUGACUUUUACACUAACCUUUAUGACCAUGAGUUAGAGUUUUUCUUUGUUCGAGAAGGCUUAAUCCUAUAAGAUACUAAAAAAAUCAAUGAGCUGUACAACACUAAAGUGGAUGUAGAUGAACACUCUGAGUUUAUUGAGGAUAUCACAAACGAAAAAAAGGACUUGUUGGUAAAGGAUAUAUGUGUCGAAGGAGCACUGUAGACAGGUUCACAUUAAAAAAAUUAUACGAUGCACUGCCGCUUCCUGACACUGCAAAGUAAAAUCUGGCUUUAUUUUGUCAACUGCAGGCUACUGCCCUCUUCGCACAGCACCACAGUCAACCUCGAUAGAAUGUGCCUGAUACAUUCAAUUGUCAAUGGCAGAAAGAUUGAUAUCGGCGUAAUACUCCACCAGAAAAUUACUGACUGCACUGCAAGGCAAACUGGAAUUUUGGUUUUCCCAUCGUUGGCGAUGCUACUGUGCCAAUAGAAAGGGAUCGUGUCCCGUGAUGAUGAAGAGGUCCUAAAGAAUAAGGGCUCGAUAAAUGAAACCUCUAUUGAAAGAAUGACUCGUGGAAAAAAUACCCUAACAAUGAAGGAGGCAGAGACCAACAAGACAAGGAAAGGGCAAAACCAAGGCAAAAAACAAAUGAACAAACCUAACUGCAGAGACAUUAUUGUUGCGCAAAAUGUAGGAUAUCGAAAAGUUGACUAAUUCCAUCAGCAAUAAGUAGAUCAGGCCCAUCGCUACAAUAGAGGAUAUGAACAGAUCACAAAAUUUGUUGUGUGCUUAUACCAAGACCUGUAACAACUCUAUUGUAGUCGUACUAAGUCAGUUAAGCCCGACCCCACCCCUAAAAUUUCCAGUGUUCCACUAAUCAUCUAAGAUUAUGAACCUUCAUCCGAGGAAGAUGACUUAGGGGACCGAGACAGAUCGGUGGAGUGUAUACGAAAGAUUGAUAGCCUGGUUGAUGGUGACUUUAUUGCUGGUCAAGAGGCGUAUGCUGAUGAGUAGGAAGUUGAUGUGGGAGAGGAGGAAGUCUGUGUUGCAGUUGUGAACGAGAAGCUAAGGAAGAAAAUACUAAGAAAGAAGCUGCUGAGAAUGAAUAUGCUGAGAACAUUGUUAAUGCAUCCAAGUUUUUGAGUACAACUACUGAUAAUCUAGAGUGAGAUGAAGCUAGACCAGUGAAAGCUGCAGAGGUAACCAGUGAGGAGCACCACAACUCAUUGGCGAUAGUAGUAUAUACCGGACCACUCAAGGUGACCCCUUCUACACAAGAAGUAGCUAAUGAUGCCGGGGCAGCGCUGAAGACUGAGGAGUGAUUCGAGGACCGUACGAAUCCCAAAGAAAAGAAAAGAAAUCGAUUUAAAGAUAAAAAGUGCAAGGAGGAGAAAAAGAGAAUGAAGAAGAAACAUCGUGCAACCAUAUUGAUGGCCGAAGAAAACUGAGUUAGUUUAUUUUAAGUUUUAGCUGUAGUAUUCAUGCAGUGCAUGUAGUUGUAAUUUUUAUUUUGUUAGUGCACAUUGUAGUUGCAUUUUUAUUGUCAUUUUAUUUUAAAGUUAGUGCAUUGGAGAUAAUGCAAACUUUAAAUUUGGGGGAAUACAUAUAGGGUUUGGAAAUACACUCACAUUUCAUAAAAAAAAUUGAGUUUAAUGAAGCAUGCAAGGUUUAUUUUUGGUUAAUGCAAAUUUGUUUGAAAAUUUUUGUUAUAUUCAAUGCUUAAUCUUGAAUCAUGUGAAUUAUCUAUGAAUGAGUUGGAUAAAUUUGACUGAAUGUUGUAUCUUUAAUUAUUUGAUGAAUGAUUUAGGUUGCAUUAGUAAUGGGUGAUUAGUAGCAUUCCUUGAAUCUUGAAUAAAUCUACCUUUUACAACUGCUUAUAUAUAUAGUUAUGAAUAAGAUACUCCAAAGUGGGUGUAUUGUGAAAUGUUAAAAAAGGAACACUCCAAUGCAAGCGUUAGAAAAAUGAAUCUGGCCAAAGGCUGUCGCUGCAUGAGUGUGUGUUGGCGUAAUUACGUACUCCUUGGAGGUUUGUUGCACUCUAUCUUUACUUCUAAGGAACAAGGGUACAAUAAUGCAACGAUAUCCCUUAUUCAUAAAAAAGAAAAGAAAAAAGAAAAAAAAAGACAUAUUGUAUAAUAAAUGUUGUAUUAAUAGAUAGAAUUUAGGAUUUAAAGUAUGAUGCUGGUUUUGAUGAAGUUGCAAUCUUAUUCAUUCAUACUCAUGUAUUGUCGGUGCAAUAUUCUAUCAUCUGAAUGUGACUCAUUCAUUGGGAUUUUAGGUGAUUCAAGUUGCUAGAAUGAUCAUUUGCCUUAGUGAAUUCUUGUGUAGCCUUGCUAGUUUUUGUUUUACUUGAGGAAAAGUAAAAACUCAAGUUUGGGGGUGUGAUAGUACUAGAAAGAACAUAUGUUUUCGCCUUACUUAUUGGUUAAUUUGUCCCCAUUUAGUUAUCUUUAGCACAUAUUUUAGCAUUUUCAGUUUAGUAAAUUACAUUUUAUAACUCAGUGGAUCUUAACCUAUUUAUCCUUAAUUUUGUCAUAUUUUGGUAGUGAUAUCACUGCAUGAGUAUUUCCAGAUUGCGCCCAGAAUUGUUGCCGUACCUGACAGCUAUCGGGAUAAGAAUAAAAAGGUGUGAGCUGUCCAGUCUGGUACAACCAAAUUGUAUGUACAAAGGCACCAUGAUUCUGAUGAAAAGACACCUGUGCUAUUUGGAUAAAUAUUAAUAUUCAUGUGAAAUGGAGAAUGAGAGGUUUUUUCUGCAGGGGUAUUAUCUUCUUCAACCUACCUUUUGAAGCUUUUCGACUAUAGCGGCUUAAGCCUCCUACGAGUGAACCGACGUGAAUGAGGUACAGAUUAGCUCUUGACGAAGAGCCCUGUGUGCGACACAAGAGGGAGUUGAGAGAUCAAGUCGAGAUUUUUUAGGAAUAGUACUCUCUACUUGUUUAUUUUAUAUUUAUUUUCUAAACACUGAUGAUUACUUUCUAUUUCAUGUUUGUACUGAAGUAUACGUGAUUUUGGGGUUAAAUGUUAUUUUAUUCAAUCUUGCUUCUACUUUUAAUCUUUGGGUUUGAAUGUUUUACCAUUAAAGUGUUAUUGCGGUCACUUACACUAGAAAGUGCAGUGAUAGUUCAAGCUAAGAGGCAUAACAACGAAAGUUGCUUGAGGAUUAGAGAAAUUUAAUCCACUUGUUCUUAAUAGUGUUCCAUUGCCAUCAUCAGAAGGUGUGGCUAAUGUGCAUGUUUAAGUCUUAAAUUAAAUAUAGAAGUUAAGUCUUAAAUUUAAUGCAUCGACAAUCAACUAUCCUUUUAUACCUUGUGAGCACUUAGUAUUCUAUUGAAUAGUCACGUUGGGGAUCCCAGUUUAUCAUUAUCAUAUUUUAUCUUAUUGUUUUCAAGUUAUUGCUUCAACAACUACUCUUACAAUUUAUCUCGUUUCUAUUUAUUUAUUGCACUAACAUUGAUAGACAAAAGACAACCAUCCUCGUGGGAUCGAUAUCCGACAAACUCAUAUCUACCUACUAUACUUGCAUCGAUAGUGUACGCUUGCACAUUAUUGCUGUGAUGUUAAACAGCUGAUCAGGGUCAUAUUAAAAUUUGAUUAAGGAAUUGUAACGUUUAGAUAGCUAAUUAAUUAAAAAUAAAUAUAUUGUAAAAGUCACAAAAGUGGGUUUCUAUUAGUUAAAAAUAUUAAAUGGCUAUAGUGUUAUGAAUUGUUGGAUUUACUUGGUAAUUAUACCUUAUAGUUGGAUGAUAGACGGUUUUGGACAUUAUUAGUUUAUUUUAAAGGUUAAUUUUUAAAGGAAAAAUUGGUAAUUAAAUAAUAACUAAAACAUAUAAAAAAACAUUAAUAUCAUCUUCUACUUGGUUUUGUUGUAACCAAAAAUCACCAUGGUUUUAAGCUUGAGAACCGGCCAAGCUCCUAUUUCAUGUAUGUAAGUGAAUUUUAAUUCCGUUUUAAUGAUUUUUAUGUUUUUGUUACCAUAUUAGUUUAAUCUAUCUAGCCCGUAGGUUAAUUUGUAGAAUUGUUAAAAGUUUAGGGACUUGCCAUGCAUAAGUUUAAGGUGUUUUUUUUAUUUUAAUUGAUUGAUUAUUAAAGUUGGUAGUGAAAUAUAAGUAUUUUUGUUAAGUAAUUUUUUUAUGAUUUUAUGGUUUAGGGACUUAUUUAUGAAAAUGGUAAAAUUCAAGGAAAAUAUUGUGAACUGAUGAUAAAUAUAGGUUGUUAUGAGACUAGGUAAAAAUCGGCUAAUAUGAAAUUUAGUUAAAAAUGGUAAAUUUGAAAAUUAUGGGUUUAGGGGCUAGAUUGUAUAAAAGUUAAAAUGUUGGGGAAAAUUUGUAAGUCGAUAAUGAAAGGGUUUAAUUGCAUAAAACUACUUUUUAGAAUGCUAGAAAUGUAUUAAUUGAGUUGUGACAAGCUUCAGCAUGCUCUAAUACCUUUUGUUAAUGGUUGUGCAUAGUCUUUUGGAAUUAGAAAAGAAAUGGUUGAUAGAUAUGUUUUUAGAUGGUUAAAUUGGUAUGUUUUGAAUGUAAUACGAUUUUGUUGCUAACUUAACCAUGUGAUAGGUUUUAAGCUUAUGCUUAACCUAUUAGCAUAUGUAUAUGUCUUGAAAUUAGUUGGUAUAUGCUUGUGUUAAUAGGUGAAUUUGAUCACUUAUGUAUGUCUUGUGAAAAAGUAUGGCUAAGAGGUAAGGUUUGGGAAUGAAGUAACUAAAUGGUGUAUGUGUGAUGUAUGUUUUGGUCAUGAACUUAUAUUGUUCUAAGUAAAUGAGUUGUGGUGUCUAAUGAAGACACAUUGGAUAGGUUGAUAUUGAAUGAUUUUUUGACAUGUUUUACGUGACUUUGAAUGUGAUUUAUGCAAGUGAAAGUAGCUAUAGAUGGUAUGGCUUGGAGGAUAAAAAAUGGUAUUUGUAAGGGAUUGUUUUAGGGGUUGUUAAGGGAGCACACGGACUAGGACACGGGUUGUCAAACAGCUGUGUGCCAGACAUAGGCACCUCACACAGUCGUGUGUCAUUUUAAUUUCAGCUGCAAGUUCUAUACAAUCUGGCACACGACCUGCGACAUGACCUUGUGACCCAAGUCUGUGAGUUACACAAGCGACCACACGAGCUGGGACAUGACCGUGUGUCCCUAUUUCGAAUGCCCACAUGGUCUGGGCCAUGUCACAUGGCUUUGGCCACACGGCCUUGUAACCCCUAUUUCUCAAUUUUUCAUGUUGUUCCAAAAUUUUCUGAUUUGUUUCAAAUUGAUCCCUGGUUGUUCUGAAAUUUUUUUAGGACCCCGAAGGCUUGGUUUAGGGACCAAAUGUGUAUUUUUCCCAUGAUUAGAUUGAGUUAUUAGUAAUAAAUUGGAAGUUGAAUUAUUUUCUAUUUUGAAGUUAAACGUUCUGUUUUGUACAGUAAUUACCCCGUAACCUUAGUCCAGCGACUGAGACGGGUUAGGAGUGUUACAGGAACAUUCAAACAUUUCAAAAUAUAGCAAAAAAAUGGGGUGAGUUUGUGUGUAUUGAUGAGGAAACAAGGGGUUCUUUUACUAAAGGAAAUAUGAAAAUUAUUACAGAUUCUCUUAAUAGAAUUAAUGAUAUUAUUGAGUUAAAAGUUGAUAGUGAUAGUUAUCUUAUUAGAGUCAUUGCGAUGGUUCCAAGUUUGUAUAAGCAGAGGUGUCGACACGAGCCCAUGGCAUCAAGUCUUUGUUCCGAAGGAAAAGAAAGUUGAGAGGGAGAUUAAAAAAAGACAUAGUAGACUGAGAAAAUGACCUUUGAAUUGUAAUGCAUCAGACAUUGAUCUUGAAAGAGGCUAUUGGAAUUAGGUAAGCUUCUUGGUUUAAGGGUUGAUGGACAUGAUGUGAUUGUUGAAAAAAUUCGGUUUAGAAAAACAGUUUUCAGUCAUAGUGGAAAACUAAAAUUUUGAAAACCAUACUAAUUUGUGAUAAUUAUAGUAGUAAUUUUUUUCUUGAAAAAGUACCAGUGCUUUUUAUGAGACGAAUCCUAAACGUUUCUGACUUUCAACCGAAAAACUUAUUUAUUAUUCUCGUACCAUGAAUCACUUCGAGUGUGGGCUCGAACAAUCAGGAACUAAACACAAAACCAUAGACAAUUUAUUACUUUCAAUAGGAAAGUAAUUCUCUCUCAGUAGAAACCAGUAGAAUUGUAAUUCAUAGAAAAUAAAAUUUAUUCUUACGCUACUUUAUGGCUGAAUAACAAUAUAGCAAACUUAUAUGAAACUUGUAUAAAUAACUCUACAACUGCCAUUUUUUUAUAACGAGAGGUAGGAGAAUCCUGGUUGAAUUAGUAAAACACAAAUAAUAUUAUAUUUAAUAUAAAAUACUAUUCUACUCUAAGUAGAAUGGAUGAAGAGGGGUUUUGGGCUUCUUCUGUAUUUGGUCCAAUUAUAUGUGUUUCCUAGACUUUUAACCUAAUACUUUAUAAUUUAAUCCAACCCAACAAAUAUUUUUUAUUUCUCAAAAUAAAUAUUAUUUAUUUUAUUUAUUUAGAUAAAUCGAUUUUUCAAUUAAAUUAUUUUCUCAACCCAAUUCUAAUUCCGUUAAAGUCAUGACAUCUUUACCGUAAAAGAAUCUAUGAGGAAAUAUAUUUAGUUUUCAUAUUCAACGAAUUCAUAAUGACUAAUUAAUUUAAUUCUAUUUUCAAAUUUUAAUUAUUUAACUAACUAAAUAAUAAUUCAAAAACCUUAAAUUAUUUCUCAAAUCAUUUCUAUAGUUAGAGAGAAAACACAUUCAUUUGUGAAUGUGACCCAUUUCUCUAACUUCAUUUCCAUCAAUUUCUAUUCAUUUGGUUCUACAUGCAAUUUAUUUCUGGUUUCAAUGAACUAGCAGAGGGACAAUUGGGCAUAUGUAAUUAGAGCUCAAAUAAUUUAUAAUUAAGUUCCAACUUUUCGCCUAUUAAUUAUAAACUCAUUUAGUUACGAAGUUAUUUCACUAUAGCAUCAUGAUUAAGCUUUCACUAGUUACAUAUCAUUACGAAAGCUACUCAAUCAGUGCUCGUUCAAUGACCUUGUCAUAAGUAUGCUACCUUUAUAGGAUAUCCUUAAUCUCAUUGGGAUAAAUUUAUUCUUCCAAUAUGAUCUUAUUUUAUCUCAUGGUAAUCAUUACUUCUUCCUUCAUGAAAAGUCAAUUACUGUCAAUUAGUAAUCAAGUCAUUUAUCACUAAGAUAAAUAAAUCGUGGCAACGUUUACUUUUAAUCUAUCACAUAAUGCCGAUAAGAGAAUAUCAUUUACCUAUAGUUGGGUUAUGAAUUCCACUAUUGUGAAUGAUGCUACAUACUACAGAAGUCAUAUAUUCAACGCACCAACUUUUGAUUCCUUAUUUAUUCAGACUUAUACUUUUACUAAUUCAAAGUAUACAAGUCACGCAUACAUAGUCCAUUAUUCAUUCAAGAUUAAGGUAUGUCACACUAUGAACGUCACAAUUGAGUAAAUUCAUAAACAAAUCUAGGAUCUAUUCUACUUGGGUUUUGUCCAAUGUACUAUCAGUCUAGUCAGUCACAUCUAUGUGUCUAUCUUUUGGGAGUCAUUCCCUUUGAUGCUUAAGACAAAACACCUCCCCCAAUUGGACUUCAUAGAUAGCAUAUUAGUCUUUCAAUAGGUUUGCUCAUGUGUCUAUCUUUUGUCUAUCUGAGGGCAUGUUUAGGUUCAUCCACUUAUACAAGUUGUAUUUCCACAUUACGACUUGAAUAUGUAAUAUCGCUUAGCAUUAGUUAAACAUUAGAUAACCAGCGAUCCAAUGUUUGCUUCCGUCUUUCUUUGCAUGCAAAAACAUUGAGGAUAAUAUACAAAGAGUAUUAAAGUAAUGAAUGAAUAUUUUUUAUUAAACCAGUUUAUUUAAAAAAUACAAAUGUACAUAGACGAAAAUACUACACUUAGGACACUAGAUCCAACUGAGAUAAUUGAAGAACUUGUUCAAAUCGAGGUAAGAAAAUUGAGUAAUAGGUUCUGAAUUUGCAAGAUAUAAGAGUUUUCAAUCGGGAAAAUGUUGAUGUGUAUGUUAGUCACGACUGUGAAGUUGUCAGAUGUUCUUGUUUGAUAAGGUGAUUUUGGUAUAGGUAAAUUCUUUAUAUCAUUUCCAUUACUAUAUGCUUUUGGUAGGGUGAUUUUAUGGGGAUUUCUGCUUUCUUUUAUUUUGUGUGGUUCUUUCCGUAUGUUGUUGUGUGUUGCUUGACUUUGGAGGCUUCUUAAAGCUUUUUUGCUGGUGUUUAUCUCCUAUUGCUAUUUUAUUCGAUUUUUACUAGUGAGUAGGCUGCUUUGAGCAUGAUGGUGAAUCAUUUCAGUACAAAUGAAGUUGAUUGGGGUGUGAUUGUAUUCCAAACUGUAUGUUCGGUACAUUUUGGGGUGGAAGUUUUGAGAUAUUAAUUUUUUUUUUUGAUUAAUCGUUGUAUGGAUAUGUGUAUUUUGUUUUUCUUUUCCAUUGUUGUGGUGGAGUAUUCUUUGGUGUUACAAUAUUGGUAUUUGAAUUUGUAAGACUAUGAAAGACAUUGAUACAUACAACGUGAUUUAUAGAGUCAUGUUCUUCAACAAUCCAUUUGAAGCUUAUACUAUGGAGGAUGAUUUUUGACACGUACAGGAGAAUGGCAUGGAAGAUGCUAUUGGUUAAGCUAAUGCUGAAAGAUUUAGGCAUUUCCUAAGUUAGUGGUGUAGCAAAGCAAUGGUAGUUACUAUCAUGUGCAACGGGCCUGUGGUCAAUUUGACUUGCUCGUAAUGAUAUUAUAUUCAGGGGCAGGGUGAUUUUAUUUGAUGAGAUUAUGUUUCUUACCAAAUUGUAUUCCAUGUAAUGGGCAGAAGCAACUAACGAAGAAUUGGUCAAUAAGGAUCGAUGGUUGAAAGAUACGUUGAGUUCCUCUUAUUUUUGGAUUAUAUCAACAACCGUAGCAAUUUUAAGUGGGUUCCUACAACAUUGUGUUGCCUCAAAUAUAAUGUCAAUUAAGAAUCUAAGAGGAAUGCGAGAAAGGUAAGAUAUGGUGGAAUACUAAAAGAUGAUGAGGGUAAGUUGGCAAAUUUUUUGGGUCUAAUGUAAUCAAUGGUGGCAAUCUCUCGAUGCAAUAGAUCGAGUUUGAGGCCUUGGAGGCAUGGAAGAAUCUUCAAAAGAGGCUAAUUGUUGGGCUAAUGCUUUAACCAAAUUCGAUAUUAAUCAACGUUCAUUGCUAGUGGCAUAUAUUUUGUUUUUUAGUGUUUUGUUAUAUGUUUUGUGAGCUUUUAUUUGGUGAUUCUGUCAGGGCAAACAAUGCUGGUAGCCUAGUCUUAUUGUGAUAUAAGCUAUGUGAUGUGCUUUUAUUCGGUGUAUCGACCAAGUUUUAUUUGUAAAUAAAUUUUGAUUGAGCAUAAAAAAAACAGACCAUAUAUAAGAGUUUUGGCUUGUUAAGAUACAAAAUAGCUAUAAUCAUAUUCUUCCAUAAGUAAUCAUACAAAAAAAAUUCAAUUAUCUUAAUAAAUGUUAAGAUAAGGGUUAAUAUCUUCAAAAUAUUCCAAAGUCAGCAUGGUCUAAUCUCCUCAAAUAAGGGAAUUUGGGUUGCAUUAAAAGACUCUGAUCCAAUCAUUUAUGAUUUGAUUAUGCACUAUUGCACAUCCUAGAAUAGGCCAUAAAUAAUAUCUAAAUGUCACAAAUGCAAAGCCUAACGCGUUUUGAAUCAAAAGAUUGUUAACACAAAUAAGACAAGUUUUGACUUAUUCUAGCUAUGCCUUAAGUUGCAACGGUUGUUGCUAGAAGCCAAAAUCGUUUCUAACAAAUAUACUAAUAAUUACUUCUUUAGAGUAAAUGUAAUAAUAUGUUUAAGAAAAAAAUUCUAUAAUAAUGACAAUUUAGUAAAAUAUUUUUUUUAGGUAUCUUACAUUCUAUUAACCAAACGCAAAAAACUUACAUUCCAAUCAUAUGACCAAAAGAGUGUACCGUAAGUCCCACUCCAUAAUCUUACAUUCCAACAAUCUUAUUACCAAAGGUGAUCUUAUAUUCCUUGAACCAAAUACCCCUUUAGCACAUUACUGGAUAUGUUACAUUACCCUUUUUUGUUAAUUUGGUUAGAAUAUAAGAUUUUAUUGUUUGAUUGAUGAAAUGUAAGAUUAUCUAAAAAUAUAUUUUAUUAAGUUGUCCUUAUAGAGUUGCUUCUUUUUUAACAAGUUUAGCUCCUUUAGCAUUAAUAUGAAAUUUAAAUAUUAGGGGGAGUAAAGGAUAAAUCUGAUCAAAUUUGUAAUAAAAAAAAAGUCAAAUUGUCAUAAAAUAAAAUAUUACAUUACUUUACUUAAGAUUACCUAUAUAUUUCAAAAUCUUGACCUGAAACCAAAUGUUCCCUUACAAUUUAUAGUAUGAGAAUAGAUAGAUAAGAUAUAUAUAGAAAAGAAACACCAAAUGUUGAUAAACCCACAUGCUGAGCCAUGAAUAGAGUAAUGAAAGAUUUUAUAUCAAGGGCAGUUUGGUUAGGGAGAAUGGAAUAGAACUAUAAUGUAAUAGAGUUGUAAUGAAAUAGAGCUGUAAUAGAAUAGAGUUGUAAUCAGUAAUUCAGUUAUUUGGUUGAAUGGAAUGGAAUAGAGUUGUAAUAGUGUUCUUGUGUUUGGUUGAAUGGAAUAAAUGUUGUAAUAGCAUAAGGAAAAAGACUUAAAUAACCAAAAUACCCUUAGUAAAAUUCUUUUAGAUAGAUGAUUAUAUUUUUUAAAUUUUAAUAAGAUUAUUAUUAAAUACAAUUUAAUAAAAUAAUAUAUAAUUUAAUAACUUUUUUAAUAUUAUUAUUAAAAUAUGAAUUAAUAAAAAUCAUAACUUUAUUAUUUUGAACACAUAUUUAAUGUGCUAAAUGUUCCAUUAUCCAUUUAUUUUUUCCUUACACUCUUUUUCUUUCUUUAAUAAAUUUCUUUUAUCUUUUAUAUAAUAAAAAUCAAGUUUAUAAUCUUCAAUUGAGUUAAUUGGAAGAUCCAUCUACAACCAUGGCUGAAUCAACAGAUUAUCAUCUUUAUAAACAUAUCAUUUAUAUUUUUAUAUAGUUAAAUUAAAACACUUGUUCCUUAUCAACAGAUUUUCAUCUUGCACACCCUCCUUUCCUAGCGUAUCCUUUAAGUUUUGAGCAGCAGCAGCCACCUCCUCAGGAGUGAUUUUCCCGUCGUGAUCCCUGCAGGCAUAGAACAUUUUUAAUAAAUCUGACUAAAUAGCGGUUGCAGUAAUUAAUAUGCCAGUAACUAUGCUCUUGUGAUGAUUGAUGUGAAUAAACAAUACCAAAAUUCCAUUAAUCCCAUUUGAUAACAGAACAUAACAUCAUAAUAACAAAACAUCACACUGUUAGCACAGUAGCCAAGGACAUAGCCAAGACACGAGAAAAGGAAACAAUCCAAAAACAAAGUUUCACCUAUCAAGUACUCGCCAACGAUCACCAAUUUUGGCAUCUACAUCAUCUAUUUCCUUCUCAAGAUUUUGGAGCAUAGCAUUAACCUAAGGAGUGACAAGAAUGGUAAAUACUUUUCUUUGAAUCACAUUUGAUAAGAAAAGAUAAACUGUCAGAAAAGACUUGGUUCAAAUAAGUCUUACUUUUUCAAUAAGCACUGAAGAAACCUCAUCACUAUCAGACUCUUCACCAGAAUGGUCAGUUUCCUCUCUUGCAAUCUAUAUGCCUUAAUGGCAUCUUUUUCACCAUCUGUACCCUUUUUGUCUACCAUGCUAUUAUAAAGUUCUAUCUGCAAAAUUGGCAAAAUCCAACAUCAGCAGAAAAUAAAGGGAUACAAACAGAAAUAGAAAAUUUACCAUUUCUUUAAUGAUUUUUCCAAGUUAAAAGUUCCAAAUAAAGACUAAAUAAAUUUUCUACUAACCUAGCAAAGUCACAACUGAAAAGUCAAUACUUAAAACAUCUAGUCCAAAAGAAUGAAAGAAUGACAUUGCACAAAUACUAUGUUUUAUCUAUUACACUAGCUCAAUUUGACUUCUGAAGAAAACUAUUUAAAAAUAAUGCAUUGACCUCAUUCCCUUGUAGUUCUUUACAAUAACCAAAUAAAAAAAAAAUAUCAAAGUUUAUAACAUACCUUCUUAUUUACAAGACCAAUGAACUCUUCUCGCUCUCUGCUCAUAGACUGCAUAUUAGGAACAAACUGAAGUCAAAUCCACAUUGCAAGUGGCAAUGCUAGGAAGAUAACAAUAGAAGAAUAGAAUCAACAGAUAACAGUCACAGACAAAAAUAUUCAAAUAGAGUCCUUACAGAUGCUGAAGUUAAAACAGCCAAUGCACAAUUGAUUUCACAGAGCUGAUCUCUUUUUUCUAACGCUCUUGCUAUAGCCUGUUCUUGUGCUUCUCUAGCUGUUAGGACAGUCAUCUCUUUCAAUCCCACAUCCUAUUUUUUAGCCUUAGAUUCCUUUAUCCUUGCCAGCUCUUCUUCUUCUUUCUCUUCCUCCUCCUACAAAGGUACCUAUUUAAAACAACCAAUGAAAUUCAAAGAACUGCAUAAGACCAGGAAUAUUGCUUUUGGGCUUUUUUUUUUUAAGCUAAGAAGAAAAAUUCAAGACUAAAUGCCUCUAUUUUAAGCUAAGAUUAUACUGAACUCCUUCACAGCAAGCAGGGUCAACUGAGCCCCAUAGGAGGCAAAAAAUAAUAAACAACUUACAAUAGAGGAGACUAUUCAUAUGAAAAAUAAUAUAAAACAUAUUCCUUUUUCAACCUUGAUCAGUUCUUCCUGCAUAUCAAGGUACUCUAGCUUCUUUCUCCUUUCCGAAACAAAAUCUUUAGAUGGUGGAGCUGUAAGACCAACAGUAUCCACAACUUCAUCAGGUAGAGAAAAAAGCAUAGCCCGAAUAGCAUCUUCCGGCUUCAGCUUUCCUGAUACAGUGAAUGCCCUACAGGGGAAAUUAGAAAAAAAUACAUAUUAAGAUUAAAUUAGGAAAAAAAAUAAGAAGAAAUGAGUAUCAACUGUUGAACUUCAGUGCCAACAAAACAUUGUAGAAAGACCACAUAAAACACAACUCCUGUGAUGCCUAUGAUUCCCCCUAAAGAGGAAAAAUUCUUCCACGGGAAUUCAGAAUCAAAACUGAAAUUCGAAAGAUCAAAAGGUAUUUCUCUAAAUCUAAUGAAAAAGAACAAUCCAAAAUCAACAUUGAGAAACUAGAAAGAAAAUAGAGGAAGAAAAUUAAUGGGAAAUUGGAACGAUUAGAAAGAGGUACCCUUAGACAUUCUUGAGGGUUUGAUUAAACCUGUAGUCAAUGCUUUCUUUGUUACGCUGAUCUUCUUCGCCAUGGCUGCUGCUGUUGUUCUUUCAAACUCCUCUUCUAGCUCACUCCAAAGGUUCUACAUAGGUAUAUUGGGAGAAUGGUGAGGGCAAAGAGAAAGUAAGAAGAGAAAGUUUAAAUAAAACAGAAAAAUUUCAUACUCACACGAUAAUCUUUGAGAUUUGUUGGAAAAAUCUUAGAUGGGAGUUGGGAGUUUGAAGAGGAUGUAAGAUGAGUAGAAAAGGAAAGAAAAAUAAUUUUGUAUAUUACUGGAAGCGUUGAAUAGCCAUUCAUUAGAGAUGACAUUGAAUUGCUAUUCAGUGGUUUUGAGGAAUCAGGCUGUAAUGGCUAUUCAAUAGAAUAGGUUUUACAGCCAACCAAACCCUUGAAUAGUUUUACUGUGUUGAAUAAGGGAGGAAUGGCUAAGCCAUUCAUGUGAACCAAACAAGGCCAAGUCUUCGAUUAACAUCCCGGCAACGUUAUGCCUUCCCUAAACUCAUCUUGUGUUCUCGACUCAGGCCAGGGUCCUACAACAAAAAAAAAAAAAAACUAAACCCAAUUGAACUUGUUUUGCAAUUUAUUAGGCCUUAAGGACUGGGCCAUCAAUUGUUGGGAUAGAUGAGGUUCAGGAAAAAUAGAAAUGCCUUGGUUAACAGAGAUUUCUCUAUUUUGUUUUCGUUGGUGGUGAGGUGUGUAAUGCUCUGUAGGGGUUUUAACAGGUGUGGGUUGUUGGUUUUUAUUUACCUUCUGUUACCUUUUAGCUUUAUAAAAAAAAUGAAAAAAUUUUGGGUUUCCCAAAUUAAGCUGAAUUCGUUUGAAUUAAACAAAUUUAUGUCUACUCAGGUUGAUUAAAAGUUAGUAAUUCAAUUAUCAAUUUUAUUACUAUAAACUGUAAAAAGGGAUGGUAUAUAUGCUUUUAUUCUUAUGAAACUAAUUUCACAUAUUAAUUUAUUACUGUUAACUUUUCUCGUUCAGCGUGUUUUAUUGUGUAUGAUUUACAGAAAAGUAAACCAGCAAAACAAAUUGGUUUUGGUAACAUCAUUGUUGAAAGUUACCUAAAUGCACACACAAAUAGAAACUAAAAACUGAAAAACUGUAGCCAUCUAGACCAAUGAAUUGAGAAACUUACGGAUAUCAAAAGGAAAAGGAAAAACUAAUUUCCCAAGUGAAAGAAAGGAGAAAUUUGUCUUAUAAAAUGUGUGUGGAAUCCAUAAUUGCAUAUCCAUUGUCCAAACUCCAAAUACCAAAGUGUGCAUGUAUUGUGAAAUAUUUGAGUUCAAAUGGACAAAGUUUGGAUCAAAGCUCAACAGGUGAACCCAGUGCAGGCACUAUUUCAUAUAAGAGAAAAGGCAUGUAGCUGGUCAAGGAGCUUGAAGGAGGAAGAAUGCGGGAGUAUGCAAGGUAAUGAGGUGGAGAGCGGGAGGCCUAUCGCGUUGCAAGAAAGUUUUAGAUACACAGUGUAUGUAGCAUGGAAGAAAGGGUUGAGGGGAUAUGGAGUUGCAUUCCUGAUAACGGACGACGGUGGGAAAUACAUGGCUCAGUAUUGCAACACGGUGGAAACAGAUGACAAAACGAUGGUGAAGUUGUUUGUGGUGAGGGAGGCACUAAGGCAAGCAGCAAAAGCCAAUAUCAGGGUUGGGAUUUGCAUGGAGGAGGACAAGAGGAUUGAGAGUGUCCUACAAAAUGGCAAGGUGAUGAGAGUGCUGUGGAAAUACCAUGAUUUGGUGGAGGAUAUUAAUAAACUCAGGCAUAUGGCUGGGAUCAUUGCUCGGGAAGACUGUGAGCAGGAAAGCUUACUCCGGGAAACAAAGCGGUGGGCUGUAACUUCAUCCAACAUUAAAUUCUAUUAUGUGUUUCCUUAAUUAUUAACAACCCCCAUAUUAUGUAUCUAAUUCAAGCUUUUCUCGGUACCAAGAAUAAAAGAUAAACAGUAGUACGGAGUAUCAAAUGCCAUAACCAAAGUAUAAGUGAAACAGUAGUACAUCAAAUAUUUUAUGAUUAAAGCUUGAAGCUGUAAGCAGCAAGCUCUCGUAGCUCAGUUGGUUAGAGCACCCGUUUAGUAAGCGGGAGGUCUUGAGUUCGACUCUCAAUGAGAGCAGAGGCAUCUAUAUUCUACUAGUCUUGUCAAUGCCUUGUGUUUUUGACUAAAGUUUAUUUGAUUUUUUCCUUUUUUGUUUCUUUUUAGAAAAAGAUGUGUAAUGGAAUAGAGAGUAAUAUGUAAUCUUUUUGUUUGGUUGAAUAGAAUGGAUUAGAACUGUAAUAGUAUUCUUAUGUUUGGUUGAAUGGAAUGAAAUUGUAAUAACUUAAGGGAAAAAACUAAAAUUACUACCAUUAGCAGAAAUUUGUUUAGGUAAAUGAUUAUUGUUAUUGUUAUUAAAUUUUAAUAAGAUUAUUAAUAUCAAUAAUAAAUAAUUUAAUCAUAUUUAACAUAAUUAUUAUUAAAUAUAUUUUAAUUAAAAUAUAUAAUUUAAUAAAAUUCUUAAUAAUAAAUAUUCUUAUAUGAAUUUACUAAAAUCUAAUAUAUAAUACUAUUAAAAUAAAAUUUAAAAAAAUUAUUAUUAAAUAUAUUUUAAUUAAGAUAUAUAAUUUAAUAAAAUUCUUAAUAAUAAAUAUUCUUAUAUGAAUUUACUAAAAUCAUAAUAUAUAAUACUAUAAAAUAUAAUUUAAAAAUAUUAUUAGUAAAAUAUAUUUUAAUUAAAAUACUUAUCAUUUAAUAAAUUCUUAAUAAUAAAUAUUCUUAUAUGAAUUUACUAAAAUUCAUAAUGAUAUAAUACGGUACAAAUAUACUUUGAAAUAAUAUUAUAAAUAUGUUUUAAUUAAACAUAUAUUAAUUGAAUUAAAAAUUCUUAUACUAAAAUAUUCCUUAUAUGAAUUUACUAAAAUCAUAAUAUACCUGAUACUACUAACAAUCUAAUUUAAAAUAAUUAUUAUUAAAUAGUAUUUUAAUUAACAAUAGAUAAUUUAAUAAAUUCUUAAUUAAGAAAUAUUCUGAUAUGAAUUUACUAAAACCAUAAUAUAUUAAUCUAUAAAUAUAAUUAAGGAAAUAAUAAUUAUUAAAUAUAGUUUAAUUAAAUAUAUAAUUUAAUAAACUUGCUUAAUAAUAAAUAUUCUUAUAUGAAUUACUAAAAUCAUAACAUAUGAUACUAUAAAAUAUAAUUUAAAAUAAUUAUUAUUAAAUAUAUUUUAUAAUCUACUUUAUUAUUUUUAAACUGCAAUACAUAUUUAAUGUGCUAAAAUAUCAUUAGUGAAACAAAUAAUUUAAUUAUUCUACAAUAAAAAAAUAUUAGCAGAAAUAAAAUAACUUGAGAAUUAUAUUUUGUAUAAAUAUAAUUUUCAUAUAUUAACAAAAGGUUAGAUGAAAAUGAAAUUCUACAUCAUAAUCCAUAUGUUAUACAGUUUUACAACAUCAAAAAGUUUGAACAUUGUUGUGACAUACCAUCCCAAAUAUUACAAACAGAAAAAGUUACGAAAAUAUCAUCAACAGAACCAUUAUUUUUAAGGGUCAGCAAGAAAUCUUCUGACCCAUUCCAACCGUACAUCAAAAGGUAAACUAAAGAAAACGAGCAUUUGAUAUCAACAUGUGUCUCAUUAUUUAUUUUUAUUUUUAAAUGAAAAUUAAGAAUAAAGUGAUAAUUUCUCAACUUCAAUGUGGAUUUGUAAAUUUUUUACCACUAAUAUAUUGAAUAAUUGUUUUUUAAUCAAGUUGUUUACUUGAUUAUAUCUAAUGAUCCAAAUUUUAUUUUAUUUUAUUUACUCAUGAUUGGAAUGAGUUUAAUUUAUAAUGGUUCAAAAGUCGAUAUAUAUGUAAUAUUAUUAAAAUAAUAUUUUUAAUUUUAAUUAUUUAAAAAUAUUUUUAAUUAAUGCGUUGUAUAUGAAUAUACACAUUUAAUUAGUUUUAUUUUUAAUAAAAUAUUUCUAAUUAAUUCCUUCAAUUUUAAUCACCUUACAAUUUAUUCAUUGUAUUAUAUCUAACGGCUCAUCUAAGUAAUCACUAGUGCAAGAAAUCCUAUAAUUUCGUACAGGUCUUGUAAUUGCUCGAUUAAAAUUUUCGAACUACCUCAACUUAAGAAAUUCGAUCCCAAAUUCAAAUUUUUCAAUACCAAUAAAAAUCAACUUAUUACAUCACCACUUGCAAAAUAUAACUAUAAAAACAUUACUAUGGAGUAAACCAUAAAAAAACAGAACAUAUAGUUCUCAUAGAUAGCGAAACUUGAGCUAAAUGAUGAAGUAUCGUAAUUGAGCCCCUGAUCCCUUAAAUACUCAUCAUGGUCGAUAUAACUCCUCAAGGGAGCAACAUCUAUCACUCUAUUGUCUAAGCUAAUGCUUAUAACAGAGGUAUCCAACGUCUUCUUAUAUCCCUUACAUUCACAACAAAGAAUUCCAGCAAAACCAAAGUAACAUGCAUACAAACAAGCAAAAUAGAAGGAAUUCAUUCAAACUUGUGCUUUAAAAUUAAGUUCAAUCAAUUGCUAAAAUCUGUAGCCCCUGAAAUAAGAAGAAUAUAGAAGGCUUGUAUGUGAAUACAUGACAAUAUGACAGCACAGAAAAUGAAAAAGGCUUUGCUCUUCAACAAAAGCAACAUGUACAACUCAGAGGAUCCACAACACAGCUUAAUCUAACAACGUCUUUUACUAAUAGCCUAAAAAAUGCACAUGAUGAAUUGCUGCAUACACCAUAGACCAGAAAGACAAUAUAUGUUACUUAUUUUCAAAUGAUCUAUAACAAACUGAACAGACUACAUAAUCAUACAGUUCAAUUCAGCAAAUGGAAAUUAGCAAUUUAGCAUAAUCAUACCACUCAGACGCAAGUUCAUUUUUUGGACAAUCGAUUCAUACAUGAUAAUAAGGGUAAAAUAAUUUGCAUGUGAAUAUUAGCAAUCUAACCUAUGCAUUCAUGAUAAUAUGGAGGUCAGAAAGCAUGAUUUAUAACAGACCAAACACAUCCACAACCAUAUGCAAAAAAAUCAGCAUGUAUGUGUUUUACUGUGUUUCUUUGUAUUUGAUUUUGAAUUCUUACAAUUUUUAUUUAGUUUAGAAGAUUGGAUAAGUUACCAAACCUCUUGAAUUGCAACUAGAGCUUUAGCUUGCCAACGAUUUAUGUCUGGAACAAAUCGGUAGCUAAUAGCUCUUACCUACAAAAUUUCACAUAGAACAUCAAUACCUUCUGAUUAAGCCUCAUAAAUCAUUACAAUGCUUAGCUGAAAGGUGCUGCAUAAUUCGCGUAGAGAUGAUUCGGAUAAGUCACUGCAGAGCUGUUAAUAUUAGGUAAUUGUAAAAUUUUAGAGUCAAAUAUAGAAAUUUAAUAAGAUGCCUCCUUUAAUCAAAUUCAACCGUAACUCAUGCACUCAUAGCCAAUAGAGCUUAUUUUAAUCUCAAUUUACCAUAAUAAUAUUACAGUUACAUAUACUGCAGCAACUGUUCUGUAUCGCAUAUGUGCAUAAACUAAAAAUCAAGAAUUACUGCAAACGAAUUAAUCAAGAAAAUAGAUCUAUAUUAAUUGGUAAUGACUAAAUCAUUCUCAUAUGUCUUGUUGACUUUGAAGGUAAUUAGCUUGUAGUACUAAAAUUUAUGGGUUCACUCUUGUGAUGAUGCAUUUUGAAGUGACUAACUUUCAUUCUUCGCAUGUUACGUGCCAUCAUAGCAAGGCAGAUGCAUUUGUACUCCUGGUUUAUUAAAAUUCAUCAUUUUUCCAUUGUCUGGUGUCUAGGCAAUGAAACAAAAAGAUGAAGAUGUAACAUGUGAAGUUGAGCUGAUUAAACAAAAAAUUGAAGAGCUGGAGCAACUAGCAAGAGGACGAGGACUUGCCGAUUUAUUUAACUCCAGGCAUGCACAUGGUGCUGAAAGUGUAAAAGCCAAACCAUCUUGAUUAUUUCAGGAACCAAGCUUGACUCCAAAUUUCAAUGUAAGACCUAACUUGACCUCAGUAACAUUUUGAUAUUCCAAAGAAGUUGUUCAAACUCCAACAAGACAUUUGAGAGAGGGGAAAAGAAAAACAUUUAGCUGAUAUAAUACGAUUGGGUAUAAUUCUCAGCUUCUGCUGAAUUUUAGUUUGUUUGGACAUAUGGGAAUUGGAAAGCUCCAAUUUAGAUGCUUAUAGCUGCCUUUGAAACAUGAAAGCUUGAUGCUAGGAGGCUUUGGUAUUUUACAAAAUGUUUUAAAGCAUUACAGAUCAUUUUCAUGUAACAUUCUGUGAUUCUUGUAUGACCACAGAUUUAGUUAUGGCAAAGUGGAGAGACAAAGGAAUGUCACAAUAAAUAAAACCAAACAACACCAUUCAAUAAAACAUACAGAAAGGAAUCCAUAUAAGAAUCGAAGACAUACAGAAAGGAUGAACAAAAAGGGAUCCAUAUUUCAAUAAAACCAAACAACACCAUUCAAUUUCCAUGAAAAUCAAUCAAGAAACCAAUGCAGUCGAUAAAAGCAAACACUGUUUUUUACAAGUUUCAGACAAAAAGGAAUUCAAAACAUACCUAGAAAGGAUGAAGAUCAACGAAUUCUUGAGACCUAAUCAAGAACCAAACAAGAAAGUCAAAACAAGAGACUCAAUUUGCAAGGUUUGAAGUUAAAGAAACACCCCCAUUUACAGGCAACCUUGUCAGAAUUUGGAGAUCAAUAACCUUGUCAGAGCCCUAGUUCUUGCUUGAAAAUGAUGAGGCCUCUUCGAUUUUCCUGGAGCUUAAACAAUAAACAAGCAGAAAAAUUGACGAGCGUCAAAAUUAUUGAAUUGAAUUGAUUGCGGGAAAAAGAUGGGGAGUUAUAAGAUCUGAGAAAAACUCACUGCCAGUCCUCCAGUUUUUUUACAGUUACCUUCAGGAACAAAAGAAGGAAAAUAAAAGGGAAAAUGUAAGGGGCGAUUCUGUUUGAUGUUGGGAGGGAGAGGGUGGAGGUGGAGGUGGCUUCCGGGUUAGGAGGGUAAAACAGGGCAGAAGAAAUCGGGAGAACCUAAAAUGAAGCAAAACUGAGCUUUCCUUCUGGAAUAGAAAGCAGCAAAUAUGACGGAAUAGGUGGGUUUAACAAAAUAGGGCUGUAAUGGUAUAUCCAUUACAGCGAACUAAACAUGGUGUAAUUUUGUAAGCAUAAGACUUUAGUUUUUC